rnacentral:lncRNA from 1 species
GGAAGAAAAACUAAAAUUAUUAAAGGAGUUUCAUGAUAGUUUAUGGGCAGGGCAUAGAGGAAUCUGGGCUACUUUUGCUAAACUCAAGGAACGAUAUUGGUGGAAAAAUAUGUAUCGAGAUGUGCUCUCAUUUGUAGAGUCAUGUGAAAUCUUUCAAUCGUAUUCUAAUAUCCGACAUCGAGAUGGUCUUCAUCCUACGUAUCCUCUGGCUAUUCAUUUUAAAUGGGUUGUUGAUUUGGUUAUUAUGCCGGUUGGGUUAUGGCAGAUGAGAUAUUUGGUUUUAGCUCGUGAAGAUUUAUCAAAUCAAAUAGAAGGAAGAGCAUUGAGGACAAAAUCUACAGAGGAGAUUUGUAGGUUUUUGCUUGAAGAUGUCAUUUGCCGUUACGGGUGCGUAGGAAAAAUCACUGCAGAUCGUGGAGAAUUAAAUGCAUAAGAAGCUCGUAAGUUCUUUGAAAAAUGUGGAGUUAAACUAUCACUGACUACUGCUUAUAAUCCGGAAGGGAAUGCGAAAAGCGAACGCGGUCACCCGCCGAUUGUGAAAGCAUUAGUUAAAGCUUGUAAUGGGAAGGUUAAAGAGUGGCCACGGCUUUUGUCAUUUGCAUUAUGGGCUGAUCGAACAACACAUAGUUCGGUGACAGGAUAUAUGCCAGUAGAACUUAUGACAGGUCAAAAACCAAUUAUGCCGAUUGAAGAAAAGGUACUUACUUGGAGUAUGCUACCAUCGGAAGAUGGAUUGACAAGAGAAGAACUUCUGGGUAUUAGGAUUCGACAAUUGGAGCAAAGAACGGAAGAUGUCCCGAUAGCAUUGGAAAGGUUAAAAAGAGCAAGGUUACAAAACAAGGCGCGAUUCGAUAAGCAACAUCGAUUGAGACCUAAAGCAAUCGAGGAAGGUGACUGGGUACUUGUUUAUGACAAUAGUCUGGAUAAUCAACAUAGUACUUUGCGGAAAUUUUCAAAACGUUGGUUUGGACCAUAUGUUGUAACAAAUGUUCAUGAUAAUGCGACUUACUCAUUACGGGAGUUAGAUGGUACAAAAUUGAAAAUACCAAUUGCAGGGAAGAGAGUAAAAAUAUUUAAACGAAGACACGCAGAGAUGAAUAUGAAAGACCUUAAUGAAGGUACAGAGAUUCCGCAGCAAGAAGAUGAAAGUGAUAUGGAUAAUGAAGGUAACAAAGACGAACUGGACAAAGACGUAUGGGAUAUAUUCUAAAUCAAACAGCAAUUGAGUACAUUGGUGCAUACCGGAGGAUGCACAGGUUCAGAGGGGGUGGAUGUCGUGUUGUAACACGAGUAUACAGUGAAAAUAAAAAGAAAGGGGAAUUUUAUUAAUAUUCAGUUACCUCGAAUAUUAGGAGCAUCGACCAACUCCAGUACAAAUACUGAGUGGUCAGGUUCAGUGACUCCGUUACAGUCAGCCGGGGCAUACUGAAAUGCCCUAUUCGAUUCCAAUAACGAAAGUCAGCAGGAAGAGAAGGACCAAUUCACACGACGGGUUCGAGGAGCCAAUUGGAUCCAAUUUCGAUAAUCCAAUCCGGGUCCUCUUACCCAAUAUGAGACCUGUAUUGGUGGGGCAACCCAAUGCAGUCUAGUUACGGGAAAUCCAGGUCUUACUACGGGUCUUAGCCAAUCUGACGCGAGGACCAAUUUGACCCAAUUACGGGAACAUCCAGGUUACUACGGGCAUCUUUACCAAUAUAGGACCUGAAUUGGUCGGGCGACUCAAUGUGGUCCCGAUUAUGGGGUUCGAUUCUGUUUCAGGCUGUCUUGUUCUCUGUGCCGUCUCAGGGAACGUUGUUUUCGGUAAAUGGAUUUCUUAAAGGUAAAAACGGAGGAGAAAGCUUGGCGGCGAGAGCCAAUUUUGAAUCCAAGUUGAGGUGAGAGCCAAUUUCGGAUCCAAGCUUGAGGUGGGAGCCAAUUCCGGAUCUAAGACGGAAGAUUGAAGAAAUUCAGAGGAUAAGGUUAGGGGGGAUAUAGUUUUGGAGUGGUGUGGGUUUUUUUUUUUAAGGGGGAAAUCGGAGGGGGGAGCGAGUUUUCAAGCUUCUACAAGGUUACCAGUUCGGUUUUCAUUGGAGGUUUUUUUGAAGAUCAAGGGAAUUAGAGAGAGGAGCUUCAUGCUUCGGGUCAGGGAAGGAAAGACAGAGAAUUUGGAUUUUUCUUCUUCGUGGAGUUUUGGGAAGACUGAGGCACUCGCUGCUGAAGUCAGUAUUAUAAUGGUGAAUCGGGAUUUUUAAAUGAAGUGGGUUUGAAUACUUUUGACUGUUUUGUGAAAUCGAGUUACGUCUGUGAUUGAAGGAUUAAAAGGGUGUCUAUAGGAUUGAGUAUGCAGAGUGAAUGAAAUUUAUUGGGUUAAUCUAACAAGACAGUCAGUGGAUACAAGAUCGUAAGUACAAAGCAGUAUUGAAGAUUAACAGUUUAGGUUGUACGAGGUUCUCUGUAACGUCUAGAGACCUACUGGCUGGGGCAAAAAGGACUUCGACAAGCAAUCGAAGAGCACCCGUAUAGAUUUACUGUACAUUGUUGCAGUCGUUUAUAUUCCAGCAGUCAAAAACUGAUAGACUGCGUGACUAUCGGCGAAUCUCCAUACUACCUUCUAUAGCCAGACGCCCGGCGCGUUCUCGAGCAGGAAAGCACGUAAUACGACAACGUGUUCUUCAAGCUUGUCACGACUUCCUAACAGCAAGAUGUUUUGGAUACAAUAAGACUAUAGAGCUGAUUUCUAGGGAUUUUUGGUGGCCUCAAAUGUGGAAGGCAGUCAAAGAUUUUGUACAAUGAUGUGAUGUUUGCUCAAGAUCAAAAACUCCUCGUCAUUGAUCUUUUAGACUUCUUCAGCCAUUAUCCAUUCCAGAACAACCAUGGUCUUCUGUUUCUAUAGACUUCAUCACGAAUCUUCUUAUCUCAGGUUCUUAUGACUCUAUAUUUGUGAUAGUAGAUCAUUUUACUAAGAUGACUCAUUUUUUACCAUAUACAAAAUCUAUCAUAGGUGAAGAAACAACUAAACUCUUUCUUGACAAUAUCUAUCGCUAUCAUGGAUUAUCCAAGGAUAUUAUAUCAGAUAGGUGAACUCAAUUUAUAUCAAGAUUUUGGCAGAUUCUUUUCAAGAUUUUAAAAGUGACUAUAAAACUAUCUUCGGCAUUCUAUCCUCAAACUGAUGGACAAACGGAGCAUUGUCGUAAUGUGUGAAGUCUUGCUUGAGAAUGCUCCGAGCACUUGGCUGUAGAAGGAAAAAUAGAAAUUGUGAUAACAAAAUCUUAAUUCUAAUAGAAUAUUAACAAUGUUCUAAUUAGACUAUAAUAAUGGUAAACAAACGUAAUCAAAUUCAAAAUAAUUCAAAGAAAUUUCAAACAAAUAAUAAAAUUCUUAAAAAAAUAUUAGAAUAAUCACAAAUAUUACUUAAAUAUAUGUCAAUUCAACCUUAAUUUAAUUCUAGUUAAAAUCCUAUUGAAUUUCACUCAAACUUUAGACCAAACCUAAUUAAAUCUUAAAUCCUAAUAAAUCCUAAAUCCUAAGUCAAAUCCUAAACAAACCUUAAAUCAAAUCCUAACCAAACUCUAAAUCAAACCCUAAUCCAAAUCCUAAAUCCUAAAUCAAAUCUUAAACCAAAUCCUCAAUCCUAAUCCAUACUCUAAUCUAAUCUUAAACUCUAAUCCAAACCCUAAACCCUAAACCAAACCAUAAAUCAAACCCUAAUCUAAUUCUAAAUCAAACCCUAAUAAAACCCUAAACCCUAAAUCAAAUCCUAAAUAAAAUCCUAAUCCAACCAUAAAUCCUAAUCCAAAUCCUAAUCCAAUCCUAAAUCCUAAUCAAAUCCUAAAUCCUAAUCCAAAUCCUAAUCCAAAUCCUAAAUCAAAUCUUUACUAAAUUCCAAACCCUAAUCCAAAUCCUAAUCCAAACCCUAAAUCAAACCCUAAGCAAAUCCUAAUCCAAAUCCUAAACUCUAAAUCAAAUCCUAAAUCGAACCCUAACCAAACCCUAAUCCAAAUCCUAGUAAUUCCUAUGACUAUUUUAAAUCUCAAUAUCUAAUGAAUAAACCGUUGAUCUUAAUUCAAAAUUUUCAUACUUCUUAAAAAUCAAGUUUAAAACAAGCACAAAAAACUUGAAAAGGAUCGGAAUUACCAAAUUGAUGAAAACCUCAAGAAUAUAAUUGGGUGUUAGCUGGCCUCCUUCUCCAAUCUUGAUGCCAAUCUUCUAGAGCCAAUUUCUCUUCUUUGCGCCAUUCGAUUGGUUUUAAAUUUCUCGUGGACAUAAAAAAAUAAGUCUCAUACCUUUUCACUAAAUUUUUACUCCAAUCCAACUAGUAGAUUGCAUGAAAUCUUAAAAACCCUCACUAGACCUAAAAUUCUACUUUUUGAGACCUUGACCCGCUUAAACCUCAAUAUCUCUCAUUUUAACCGUUAGACCGAGCUUAAAUUCACAACAUGUAUUUAACACAACUAUAAUCAUGAACCCAAAAAAUUUCACCUGUAGAUCUACAACAAAACUCUUGAAAUCACUCAAAACAUAAACUCUAUUUUAUUUCAUAAAAUCCAAGUCAUUCAAAACAAACCUCUAAUUUUCAAAGCCCUUACAAAGUCAUAUCAACUCCAAAUCACCCAAAAUCAAUGCCCGUAGAAACUCUAUCUAAUAUUCUAUCAAAUCCCAUUCUUCGAUCUGCCAAAGAAUCCCGGAGUUGUCGUCGAGACUCGGUUUUGUGCCUUAGGGUCUGAUUUUGACCCUAGCUCAUAACCGGCCCUCUCUAGGUAUCAUCUUUUGUCUUCUUGAGGUAAUUUUUACUAAUUUGCACUUCAACUCCUCCCUAUAUAUGUCUAUAUCCUUUAUUUUUCUAAUCUACCUUGUUUUGCCUUAUUUAUGGCCUUACAAAGUAAAUAGAAGCAUAAUUUGUAAAAAGGCAAUAUUAGCACCUUUAAUUUUUCUACGUUUUUACUAAUAUCUAUUUUUCCAAGAUAAUUUGCUACAAUAUUUUUGAAGUGAGAUCCUCAAAACAUGAUAUAUUUCUUCACCCUUUCACCUUCUAGUCAUAUUAUAUCAUGACAUCCAUCCCCCCCUUAAUCUGUGCAUCCUUUGGCAUGCACCAACAAUUCUUCAAUAUGUUGAUGUGGAAUGUUCUUCAUCUUGGUACGAUUCUUGAUUUUCAGUAUGCUCUUCUAUUCCAAUCUCGAUAUCUUGUAUUGAAGUUUGUUCUUCAUCAAAAAAAAUAUCUUCAUCUCUUUGUUUAAAUAACUUGAUUCGUUUGCUUGCUAUGAGUACCUUCAAUUCUGUACCAUCAAGUUCUUGUGAUGAAUAUGUUCCAUUGUUGUGUGCCUUUUUGACAAUAUAUGGUCCAAACCAUCUCUUUGCAAACUUCUUCAUAGUGCUAUGUUGAUUAUCUAAGCUACUAUCAUAAACUAAUAUCCAAUCACCAUCUUCAAUAGCCUUAGGUCGUAGUCGAUGCUUUUUAUCAAAUCUUUCUUUAUUCUUUUUCCUUGCUUCUUUCAAUUUUUUUAUUACUAUUUUAAUAUCAUUGGACCUUCUUUCUAGCUAUUGAAUCUAUAAUGUUAAAAAUUCUUCUCUAUUGAAAUCAUUUUUCCAAGGCAAUACAUCCCAUGUAUGUACUACAUCUUCUAUUGGCAUUAUUGGCUUUUGUCCAUAUAUUAAUUCAGAAGGCAUAUAACCUGUUACCGAACUAUGAGUUGUACGAUCUGCCCACAAUGCAAAUGGUAGUAGUCUAGGCCAUUCAUGUACUUUGCCAUUGCAUGCCUUUACUAAUGCCUUAACAAUAGGUGAAUGUCCAUGCUCACUUUUUCCAUUACCUUCUGGGUUAUAUGCUGUUGUCAAAGAAAGUUUAAUUCCUAUUCUACUAAAAAAAUCUCAUGCUUCUUUUGCAUCCAAUUCACCCCUAUCCAUCGUAAUUUUUCCAAUACAUCCAUAACAGAAAAUAACUUCUUCUAAUAGAAAUCGACAUACACCUUUAGUAUCUUUUAUUUUUAAUGCUCGUCCUUCAACCAUAUUCGAUAAAUCUUCUCGUGCAAGUACCAAAUACUUCAUUUACCCAAGUCCCAUAGGCAUUGCCACUAAAUCCACCAUCUACUUGUAAUGUAAAGCCAAAGGGUAUGUUGGAUGUAACCCAUCUCGAUGUCGAAUAUUUGAAUACACUUGGCAAGUCUCACAAGAUUCUACAAAUUUUGCUUUGUCUUUGUACAUUCUUUUCCACCAAUAUUUUUCUUUUAACUUAGUGAAUGUUGCCCAAAUACCUCGAUGCCCUACCCAUAAAUUUUCAUGAAAUUCUUUAAUAAUCCUUUGUUGAGCUUUUAAACUCAUAUCACCCUUUGUAGUACUCUCUUCUCUUUUUUGGAUGCUUCCAUAAAUAUCCAUCAUGUAAAAAAUAUCCAUAGGCUUUCUUACGAAUUUUCUCAAAUUCUUGAUCCGUCCAACCUUUUUGUCAUUUUAAUGUGCUCAAAUACUCUCUAACAUCUUUUCAUUCAUUUUCAUAUAAAUUUCUUAAAAAUGCUUCCAAUGGUAUAUUAAAACAUACACCCUUUUCUUUUGAUAACGCAUUGGUAUAAAAUUUUGUACCCACAUCAUCUUCUAAAUCAAUCAUCUUUACUUCAUCAUUAUACCUUGCUCUUGAUAACAUAUCUGCAACUAAAUUUUCUUUCCCUGUAAUAUGUUUAAAUUCAGGAUUCAUAGAUUUGAUAUAUGCUAUCCACCUCAAUAUAGCAAUAUCAGGAGUUGAACAACUUGUAAUCAUGCCUAAUAAAGGUAGACAAUCUGUUUCUAUAACUACUGAUGUUCCAAUCAAGUAUUCUUUUUCAUUUUUCAUAGCUAUUACUAUACCCCAUAAUUCUCUUUUGAUUUGCGUAUAUGCCCUUUGCUUGGAAUUCAACACGUUUGCUCCAAAUCUUAUUAUAUAUCUAUUUUCUUAUUCAUCAUCUUGCCCAACCGUCCAACCUAUUCCAAUUGGACUUGCAUCAACUGUUAAUACCACUGGUCUUCCACCUUCAUAAUUUACUUUCUUCAAAGUUGGAGAUGAAGAAAGAAGUUCUUUCAAAUUUUCCAUAGCUUUCCAUUGUUCUUCUUUCCAUUAAAAUUUUUGAUUCUUUCUUAACAACUCAUACAAUGGAUCUGCUAUAUGUGCAAAAUGAGGUAUCCAUAUAUGAUAGAAAAUACAUGCUCCUAAAAAUCUUCUCACUUUCGUUGUAUUUGUACAUUCUUUCAUCUUUUUAAUAAUAUCAAUCUUUUCUAUACUUGACAUACGUUGUCGUAUUACGUGCUUUCCUGCUCGAGAAUGCGCCGGGCGUUUGGUUGUAGAAGGUAGUAUGGAGAUUCGCCAAUAGUCAAGCAGUCUAUCAGUUUUUGACUAUUGGAAUAUAAACGACUGCAAGAAUAUACCCUAAAUCUAUACGGAUGCCCUUCGAUUGCUCGUCAAAGUUCUUUUUGUCCCGAUCGGUGUCGUAUUACAUGCUUUCCUGUUCGAGAACGCGCCGGACGUCUGACUGUAGCAGAUAGUAUGGAGAUUCACCAAUAGUCAAGCAGUCUAUCAGUUUUUGACUGCUGGAAUAUAAACGACUGCAAGAAUACACUGUAAAUCUAUACGGAUGCCCUUCGAUGCUUGUCGAAGUCCUUUUUAUCCCAGCCGAUAGGUCUCUAGACGUUACAGAGAACCCCGAACAACCCAAUCUGCUAAUCUCCGAUACCGCUUUGUACUUACGAUCUUGUAUCCACUAAUUGUCUCGUUAGAUUAACCCAAUAAAAAUCUAUAGACACCUUUUUAAUUCUUUAAUCAAAGACGUAACUCGAUUUCACAAAACAGUCAAGAGUAAUCAAACCCACUUCAUUAAAAAAAUCCCGAUUCACCAUUACAACAUUGACUUCAGCAAUGAUUGCCUCAGUCUUCUCAAAACCCUAUGAAGAAGAAAAACCCAAUUCUCUGUCUUUUCUUCCCCAACCCGAAGCAUCAAGCUCCUCUCCAAUGCCCUGAUCUUCAAAAACCUCCAAUGAAAACCGAACUAGUAACCUUAAAAAAAAACUUGAAGCUAGCUCUUUGAUCCUAAAAAUCCCCCCGAUCUGAAAAAAAAAAACCCCCCAAAACUUAUUCUCCCCCUAAUCUUAUCCUCUGAAUUUCUUCAAUCUUCCGUCUUGGAUCCGAAAUUGGCUCCCAUCGUCAGAGCUUAGAUCCAAAAUUGGCUCCCACCGUCAGAGCUUCCUCCUCCGUUUAUACCUUUAAGAGAUCCAUUUACCAAAAAGAACGUUCCCUGACAUGGCACAGAGAAUAGGACAGCCUGAAACAGAAUCGAAACCCCGUACUCGGGUCCACAUUGAGUCACCCGACCAAUUCAGGUUUUAUACACGGUAAGAUGACCGUAGUAACCUUGAUGUUCCCGUAAUUGGAUCAAAUUGGUCCUUCGCGUCAGACAAGCUCAGGCCCAUUGUAAAACCUGGAUUUUUCCAUAAUUAGACUCCAUUGGGUUGCUCGACCAAUGCAAGUCUCAUAUUGAGUAAGAGGACCCGGAUUGGAUUCUUGAAAUUGGAUCCAAUUGGCUCUUCCAACCAGGCUCACCCGUCGUUGAAUUAGUCCUUUCUCUUUCUGCUGACUCCCGUUAUUGGAAUCGAACGGAGCAUUUCAGUAUGCCCCGGCUGACUCUAACGGGGUGACUGACCCUGGUCACUCAGUAUUUGCACUGGACUUGGUCGUUGCUCCCAAUAUUCGAGGUAACUGAAUAUAAAUAAAAGUCCCCUUACUUUAUAUUUUCACGGUAUACUCAUGUUACAACUCGACAUCCACCCCCUCUGAACCUAUGCAUCCUCCAGUAUGCACCAAUUUACCCAAUUGCUGUUGGAUUUAGAAUAUAUCCUCUAUAUCUUUGUCCAGUUCGUCUUUGUCACCUUCAUUAUUCAAAUCACUUUCAUCUUCUUACUGCGGAAUCUCUAUACCUUCAUUAAGGUCUUUCAUAUUCAUCUCCACGUGUCUUUGUUUAAAUAUUUUUACUCUCUUCCCUGCAAUUGGUAUUUUCAAUUUUGUACCAUCUAACUCCCGUAAUGAGUAAGUCGCAUUAUCAUGAACAAUUGUUACCACAUAUGGUCCAAACCAACGUUUUGAAAAUUUUCGCAAAGUACUAUGUUGAUUAUCCAGACUAUUGUCAUAAACAAGUACCCAGUCACCUUCCUCGAUUGCUUUAGGUCUCAAUCGAUGUUGCUUCUCGAAUCGCGCCUUGUUUUCUAACCUUACUCUUUUUAACCUUCCGAAUGCUAUCUGGACAUCUUCCGUUCUUUGCUCCAAUUGUCGAAUCCUAAUACCCAGAAGUUCUUCUCUUGUCAAUCCAUCUUCCGAUGGUAGCAUACUCCAAGUAAGUACCUUUUCUUCAAUCGGCAUAAUUGGUUUUUGACCUGUCAUAAGUUCUAUUGGCAUAUAUCCUAUCACCAAACUAUGUGUUGUUCGAUCAGCCCAUAAUGCAAAUGACAAAAGCCGUGGCCACUCUUUAACUUUCCAAUUACAAGCUUUAACUAAUGCUUUCACAAUCGGUGGGUGACCGCGUUCGCUUUUUGCAUUCCCUUCCGGAUUAUAAGUAGUAGUCAGUGAUAGUUUAACUCCACAUCUUUCAAAGAACUUACGAGCUUCUUGUGCAUUUAAUUCUCCACGAUCUGCAGUGAUUUUUCCUACGCAUCCGUAGCGGCAAAUGAUAUCUUGAAGAAAAAACCUACAAAUCCCCUCUAUAGAUUUUGUUCUCAAUGUUCUUCCUUCUACUUGAUUUGAUAAAUCUUCACGAGCUAAAAUCAAAUAUCUCAUUUACCGUAACCCAACCGACAUAAUAACCAAAUCAACAACCCAUUUAAAAUGAAUAGUCAGAGGAUACGUAGGAUGAAGACCAUCUCGAUGUCAGAUAUUAAAAUACGAUUGACAGAUUUCACAUGACUCUACAAAUGAGAGCACAUCUCGAUACAUAUUUUUCUACCAAUAUCGUUCCUUGAGUUUAGCAAAAGUAGCCCAGAUUCUUCCAUGCCCUGUCCAUAAACUAUCAUAAAACUCCUUUAAUAAUUUUAGUUUUUCUUCCCUUUUGCCUAUCACUCGUCGUGGCAUCUCAAUUCCUUUCUUCGGUCUCUUCCAUAAGAAUCCAUCUCGAAGUAAAAAUCCAUAUGCUUUUUUUCUUAAUUGUUUGAAUUUUUUUGUAGACCAAUUCCCUUGCUUAAUCAAGGUAUUCAAGUAAUGACCAAUAUCCAAUAAUUCUCCUUCAUAAGAUUCUUCAAGAAAUAACUUGUCUUCCUUGUUGAGAUUUGAUAUUGAAUAGAAUUUCAAUCCGACGUCAUCAAUGUCUUCAAUCAUUUCGUCCUCCCUCUCGUAUCUUGCUCGAGAUAGCAUGUCUGCUAUUAAAUUGUCCUUCCCAGUAAUAUGCUUAAAUUCUGAAUUUAGUGACUUAAUAUAAGAAAUCCAUCUCAACAUUGUAAUAUCUGGCGUUGAACAAUUAAUAAUCAUUCCAAGCAAUGGCAAGCAAUCUGUUUCAAUUACUACUACCGCCCCAAUCAAAUAGUCCCUUUCAGCUUUCAUAGCCGAAACGACUCCCCAAAGUUCUCUUUUGACUUGCGAAUAUGAUCGCUGACAAAUACUUAAAACUUUAGCUCCAAAUCAAACUGCAAAUCUAUUCCCACUGGAAUCAUCUUGACCCACAGCCCAUCCAAUGGCAAUUGGACUAGGGUCCACAGUAAGAAUCACUGGUCUAUUACACUUAUAAUCAACCUUUCUCAAUAUUGGAGGUGACAUCAAUAAUUUCUUCAAUCUUUGCAUUGCCUGAAUAUGUCUUUCUUCCCAUUUAAAUCAAUAAUCCUUGCGUAACAGUUCAUAUAAUAGAUCCGCUAUGUGAGCAAAAUGAGGGAUCCAGAUUCGAUAAAAUAUACAUGCACCUAAAAACCUGUGAACCUCUGUUAAAGAAUCACAAUCCUCUUUCAUCCUUCCAAUUGCAUCAACUUUAGUCGGAUCUGAUUUUCUUCCGUAAGAUCCACAUAAAUGUCUAACAAUCACAACCUCUCAUACUCCAAAAGCAAACUUCAUACCCGGUAAUGUAAGAUGAACUUUUCCAAGCUGAGUUUAAAUCUUUUCACAAUCUUGUAUAUGAUCAACAACAUAACUGCAUCACCCCCUCGUAUCUAAAGUUUCAUCCUUGUCUCCUUCUCUACACCCUUUUACAGGAACAUCAUUCAGAAAAAGCAUAGUCUUUUCCGGAAUAAAAUCUCUCAAUACCUUAUUCAUCCCAUUCAUCAUAUGCGCAACUGAGUUGGUCGCGCCUUGAAGAAGAGUGCACAUUCUAACCAAUCCAAGUAGUGUCCUCAUUGUUGUCAUAUUUCUACUUCCUUCGGCAAGUUGAAAUUGAUCAUAACUUGAAUAUAAGUCACCUAUUGAAUAGAUCGCCCUUCCAGCAAACGCCUCAGCAAAUUCAUCCACAAUAGGUCCAAUUCCUGCAUUCCUAACAGUUACUGCAUUCACUGGUUGCAUAUCUUGAAUAAAUCGUAGUGACCCAUUCUUCUUAGGUACCGUAAACCAUCGACUAGAAUAUGACGCAAAUGAGGGUUCCAAUAUUUACAUCUUAUCUUUUCUUUUAAUAGCUCAACUAAUUUAGGUAAAUGUACCAUCGAUACUAGAAUCGGUCUUAGAUUCCAAGGUACAUGCAGUACAGUGAAGAUACCCAUAGGUGUUAUAAAAUUGGGAUCCACACACCCAAUUUCAUGAGAUUCGAAAGCAAACGAUCUACCUUGUUUAGCCAACAUCUUUUUGAAGCAAGUAAUUUCCUCCAGCAAUAAAGAACCAUCAGAGCCAAUCUUCAAUUCUUCAAAAGUUUCUUUAGUAAACUGAUGUCCAAUACUCAUUGGAUCUCUUAAACUUGCUUCUUUUGAUGCUUCUCCCAUUUGUUCUUUAGAAUCUUCUGAUAAUUGUCCGGCAACAGGCUUUACCUUCUUAUCUGCCGUUUUAUAUCUCGUCUCUACAGUGACUUCUGGUGCUUGAAAAGAUUCAAAUAUGGUAUAAACCUCUCUUGAAUGAAUCUCAACAAUCUUAUCAUUAUCUCCUAACUCAAUAGAUGUAAUCAAUUCCAAUGAAUCUUCCAGUCCAUUUUCUUCAUAAACACCUAAAAUCCUCUCAUCGUCUUACAAUGUACCUAACUUGCAUAAUUCUCUUUCAAUAUUAUAUAAUCUUUUUCUUUCUUUUCUUUUAAAAUCAUCAACUUUCUUAUACAUAAUAUUUCCAUUCUCCAAUAUACCAAUAAAAUUUGCAUCAAAGGCACCUUCAUCUCAAGAGAGUACCUCCUCUUUUGUACCUCCAUAAUCUCGCUUUACAGUGGUACCUCCCCAAAAUCCUUAAAUCCUUCAACAAUCUUUGGUAAUGGUUUCUCCCUCAACCUAUCUCGAUUCCGUUCAUGGUUAGGAGGAACUGUUAGAAAUUGUACAGCUUUUCUCCUAUCCUCGCUCCGUACCUUUGCAUAAGAAGAACCAUCGUCUAGUACUUUUAUUUCCAUCCGUGUUGCCGUAAUAUAAGGUUGUCCUAAAAUCAACGGAUAAGAUGUUGUAUCUUGAACAAAGAAAUGUUGCUCCGUCGCAACAUCCCCAAUCCAAAUUUUGACAUCUGGACAAGCUCCAUAUAAUUCGCCUCAUGUGUUAUUAGCUACUCGUAUUACCCAUCCAUGUUCCAUAUCAAUUGGCCAUUUUUGCUUCUUAUAAAGAUCUUUAGACAUGAGAUUUAUUUCAGAAAUAUGGUCGACUAAAGCAACAAUUGGUUCAUCUAUAUCUCCUACUUUCACCAAUACCUCAAUAGUUGCCCUUGCCCAAUGCUUUCGAGUAUAAUGGCUCAAAGUUUCUAUUUUCUUAUCCCUAUAACCUUCGAAACGUACUCGUUGAUUAUACCCAUUCUUUUCAUUUGUUGGUUGCUUGUAACCAAUAUCAACCUCUUCUUCAUUUUUAUAUAUUCUUACAUCAAUAGCAUGACUCAUUCUUGUUUCGCCCAUUAAUUGCCUCUUUUGCUUAAUGUUGUCAAUGAUAACAUCAUGAAACUCCUUCUUUACAAUUCCCAAGACUUAUUUCAAUGUGAAUUCCACCUUAGCAUUUAAUAUAUAUUCUUCCAACACGCCUUUCAAAUUUAUUGCCGCUUCAAUGUCAGAAAGUAGCUUAUAAGCAAUUGAUUUGCCUUUAUCUUUUGUCUCCUUUGUUUUUUCUCCCAAUGAUGCCGAGGUAUCCUUUACAGGCAAUUCUUGUGAAGCUGCCUCCCGAGCCUUGUCUCCUCGAGUUUGCCUCUUAGAAGAAUUUUCUUCUCUAGUAUCAUCAAAAUUUCCUCGUCUCUUUUCUUCCAUCAAAGCUUCAUGUUGGCUCUUAGCAAUAUAUGCAUGAACUGAAAGAGAUUCAACAGGAUUCUUCAACCUGUUCUACCUCGUAUUGUAGCUACAGUCGUCAAUAACGCUUCUCGAGGUAAUUUCCCUUCUUGCAUUGUAGAAACGGGAGAAGCCCAAAACUCACUAGUUUCUGUACUUCCACCAAUUUCAUCAUCUACUCUAGCAUCAUAACUUGCACUUUCUCGUGCUGCUGUUUCAUGCUCUUUUAGGUAAUCUUGAACCAAUGCUCUCAUUCUUCCCUUGCCAAAAUUGGUUUAAAGAAGAUCCUCCCUAUCUUUCAAUACUAUCUUCCCAUCUUUCCAGCAAAUAAUUCUGUGCCGUAUCAUAUUAUUAAAUUCAUUGCAAUCUUUUCUAGUGUGUGAAGCAUCAUCACACCAAAUGCAUCUUUGUACAUAUCCUUGUUUUGAAACAUUCUUCGAAUUAUUUGUAGAAGUAUUCUCUUUAAGUCUUGCCAAUUUGAUUUGAAGAUCUCGCAUUCCUCGUAUAAUUUCUUCCAUUCCCAUAUCUGCUUUCUUUGAUAAGGAUGUCGAAGGUUGAACUGUAGGCAUUGUCGGUGGUGUUGUACGUACUGGACCUUUUGGUGCUUGUACUGUUUUCGGAAUAUUGCUCCUAUCCUUCCUCCUUUCUCUUUUCGUAAGCAACCCACCGCAUCUUCAACGUUCUUCCACUUUGUUGUCAAUCCUUCAUCUUCUUCUUUGUCUUCAAGAAGGAAUUCUAAUUUCCCUUGCAAUUCUCCAUCAGCAGCUUGAAGAAAUAGAUCAACUUUAUUGGGCUUCAAUGUCAAUUUUUCUACCUUUGAUAAUUGAGAGUACUGCCUCUCAAAUUCCCUUAGUAGCUCUGUUGCUUGUAAAUUCUUAUUGGGCCGUUCAAUCCAUUCCAGAUACAGCUUCUUAGUAACGCGAUCAGCAUCUUCCAAGAAAUAUUCGUCUUUCAAUGCAUGUAAAAAAUCCUCCCAUGAAUUUCUAUAACGAUCCGUAAUCGAUGUAAUAUGGUCUCUUAUCUCCAGUAUCGUGGCAAGUCCAAAUAGUGCAACCAUUUUCUUCUCAGAAACCCGAUUAAAUUCCAUUUCACGAAUAUAACAUCUUAAAUACCUUGAAAUAUUCCUCCCAUCAAAUUGAUCAAUUUUAUUGACUACUGCUUGCAAUGCUUUGGUUGCCAAAGCUUUCUUUCGAUCAUUGCUUUGUUGUUGCUGCAUUGAUAAUGAGAAGGCUUGAAACAUACUAGCAAUAGAUGGAUCCAUGUGCAUACCUUGUCCUCUAGAAGAAUCCCCACCAGAAACUCCUCCCAAAAAUCCUUCAAAAUUUUUAUUUUUGUUUUCCAUAAAAUAAUGAUAAAAUCAACCCAAAUCUAAUAACUUCUACCUCAAGCUUUCACGUCGGGUCACCACUUUUGUCGUAUAAGAUAAUACGUCUGAAAACGAAUUUAUCUAGCUAAAAUAGGGACCGUUUUCGUAUUACGUGCUUUUCUGCUCGAGAAUGCGCCGGGCAUCUGGCUGUAGAAGGUAGUAUGGAGAUUCGCUAAUAGUCAAGCAGUCUAUCAGUUUUUGACUGUUGGAAUAUAAAGGACUGUAAAAAUAUAUCAUAAAUCUAUACGGAUGCCAUUCGACUACUCGUCAAAGUCCUUUUUGUCCCGGCCGGUAGGUCUCUAGACAUUACAAAGAACCCCAAACAACCCAAACUGCUAAUCUUUGACACCGCUUUAUAUCCACGAUCUUGUAUCCACUAACUAUCUCGUUAGAUUAACCCAAAAAAUUUCAUUCACUCCGCAUACUCAAUCCUAUAGACACCCUUUUAAUUCUUCAUCACAGACGUAACUCGAUUUCAAAAAACAGUCAAGAGUAAUCAAACCCACUUCAUUAAAAAUCCCGAGUCACCAUUACAACACUGACUUCAGCAACGAUUGCCUCAGUCUUCCCAAAUCCUAUGAAGAAAAAAAACCCAAUUCUCUAUCUUCUUUCCCUGCCCGAAGCAUGAAGCUAGCUCUCCCGAUCCUUCAAAAAAAAAACUCUCCAAAAACUUAUUCUCCCCUAACCUUACCCUCUGAAUUUCUUCAAUCUUCCGUCUUGGAUCCAAAAUUGGCUCCCACCGUCAGAGCUUGGAUCCAAAAUUGGCUCUCACCGUUAGAGCUUUCUCCUCCAUUUUUAUCUUUAAGAGAUCUUUUUACCGAAAACAACGUUUCCUAAAAUGACACAGAGAACAUGACAGCCUGAAACAGAAUCGCAACCCCGUAAUCGGAACCACAUUGAGUCGCCCGACCAAUUCAGGUCUCAUAUUGGCUAAGAGUCCAGUAGUAAGUCCCGGAUGUCCCUAUAAUUGGAUCAAAUUGGUCCUUCGCGUCAGAUUGGUAGAGGCCCGUAGUAAGACCUGGAUUUUCCCGUAAUUAGACUGCAUUGAGUUGCCCGGCCAAUUCAGGUCUCAUAUUGGAUAAGAGGACCCGGAUUGGUUUCUUGAAAUUGGAUCCAAUUGGCUCUUCGAACCAGGCUCACCCGUCAUGUGAAUUGGUCCUUUCUCUUCCUGCUGACUCCCGUUAUUGAAAUCGGAUGGAGCAUUUCAAUAUGCCGCGGCUGACUGUAACAGGGUGACUAAACCUGGCCACUCAAUAUUUGCACUGGAGUUGGUCGUUGCUUCUAAUAUUCGAGGUAACUGAACAUUAAUAAAAGUCCCCUUUCUUUAUAUUUUCAUGGUAUACUCGUGUUACAACACGACAACGUCCAUAUAAACCACAGAUGUGUCCUAUCACCAAAAUUUCUUUUACUCCAAACAUUGAUUUUGUCCCCGAUAAGGUUAAAUGAACUUCUUCCAAUCUUUUCAAAAUCUUCUCACAAUCUUCAAUAUGAUCUACCACAAACUUCCUACAUCCCUUUGAAUCUAAAGUUUUAUUCUUUCUUUCUUCUUCACAUCCCAUAAUAGGUACAUCAUCCAAGAAAGAUAUUGUUAUUUUUGGAAUAAAAUCUCUUAAUACCUUAUCCAUUUCAUUCAUCAUAUGUGCUACAGAAUUUGUAGCCCCUUGUGGUAAUGUGCUCAUUCUAACCAAUCCUAAUGGUAUCUUCAUAGUUGUGAAAUCCCUACUUUGUAUUGCCAAUUGAAAUUGAUCAUAAUCUGAAUAAAGAUCACCCAUUGAGUAGGUAGUUCUUCCAGCAAAUGCUUCUACAAAUUCAUUCACAAUUGGAUUUGAAUCCAUAUUUCUAAUACUCACUUUUUUUACGGGUUGCAUGUCUUGUAUAAAUCUCAUUGUUCCAUUGUUCUUUGGCAUUGUAAACCAUCGAUUAAAAUAAGGCACUAUAGAUGGUUCCAAAAUUCCCAUUUUAAUCUUUUCAUUGAGUAAAUCUACUAACUUAGAUAAAUACGCUCUUGGUAUUAGAAUUGGUCACAAAUUCCAUGGUUCAUGAGGAAUAGUAAAAAUAACCAUGGGUACUACAAUAUUUGGAUCAACACACCCAAUUUCAUGUGCUUCAAAUGCAAAAGCUUUUCCAUGAUGUGAAAGCAUAUCCCUAAAACAUUUUUCUUCACAUUUUUUCAAAAAUCCAUCACCUCUAAUAUUUAAUCCAUCUAAUGUAACAUCCAUAAAUUUAUAUCCUAUCUUCCUUGGAUCUCUUAGAUUUGGUGGUAUCAAUGCUCCACUUAUCAUUUCUUCACAAUCACACGGUAGUGGCAAAGCCACUGGUUUGACCUUCUUUGCUACUGAUUUAUACUUAGUUUCAACAUAUACCUCUUGGCCACUUAAAUUUUUCUUUAAAUCCUUGAAUUUUAUCAUAAAAUUCUUUAGAAUAUACAUUAAUAACUCUAUUCUCUACUUAUAAUCCACAUUAUAAUAGAUAAUUUAAUUCUCCUAUAGUAUCUACAAAAUCUUCUUCUUCAUAUGCUCCUGAAAUAAAUUCAUUUUCAACCAAUUCUCCAUUUUCUUUCAAAUUUUUCUCAAUAUUUUUAAUAUAACAUAUGUCUCUCUUUUUCAUUUUGUCAAUAGUCUUAAAAGUCAAUACACAAUCUUGUGUCAUCCCAAUAAGUUUGAUAGAUAACAAUUCUUCUUCUAAAUUAAGCGGGAGCUUUUCUUUCUCUAAUCCAUUGCAACCGCACUUUACAAUGGUGUGUCGUAAAAACCGUCAAGGUCUUCAAAUUUUUCAUUUGAUAUUGGUUUGUCUCUCAAUUUAUCAUGAUUUCUCUUAUGAUUAGCACAAACAGUUUAAAAAUGAACUGCUUUCAUCCCAUCUUUGCUUCUUAUGCUUGCAUAAGCUGAACCAUCAUCCAUUACUUUUGUUUCCAUUCGUGUGGAAAUAAUAUAUGGUUGUCCCAAUAUAAUAGGAUAUAUAGACAUGUCUUGUACAAAGAAAUUCUGUUCAUGAAUAACAUCUUCAAUUUUCACUUUGAUAUUUGGACAUGCUCCAUACAAAUCUCCCUUUGAAUUAUUCGUAGCUCUUAUCAUCCACCCAUAUUCAGUAUCAAUAGGCCAUUUUUUCUUAUUUUAUAAUUCCUUUGACAUCAAAUUGAUCUCAGAACCAUGAUCAAUUAAUGCUACAACUGGUUCUUCUAAAUUUUCUAAUUUUAUUAAAGUCUCUAUUGUAGCCCUUGCCUAAUGAUUUCUAGAAUAAUGGCUAGAAGCUUGAAUGACAUCUUCUUUUUUUGCAAACCUUAUUCGCAAGACAUCUCCAAAAUUUUAUAUUUCAUCUUCUUCAUCUUCAUUUCUUUCCAUUGCUCUUGUUCCUUGUGCAUUCGAUGUCAUAGAGUCUCCUAUAGAUUUUCGUUUUCUCUUUAUUGUAUCAAUAAUAAUUUCAUGAAACUCAUGCUUUGCAAUUCCUAGAAUUUCACCAAUUAUGAAUUCAACCUUUCUACUUAAAAUCCGCUCCUCCAAUACCUUCUUCAAAUCUGUAGCUGCUUCAAUAUCUGAUUGUAAUUUAUAAGCAGGAGCCUUCAUUUUUUCUUUUCCAAUUUCUCUCUCUUUUGUAGAAAUGUUCUCCAUUGUCUCUUCAUGAAUAGAAUUCUUUUCUUGUCGUGCUUUUUUCCUCCUUGUAGUUCUUUUUGAGGGCCCUUCAUUAUUUUUAUCUCUCCUUCAUUUUUCUUCUAUUAAUGUUUCAUGUUGACUUCUUACAAUAUGAGCAUGUACAGAUAAUCUAUCUACUGGAUCAUCCUACCCAAUAAUUUGUCGAAUGUUAUUACCAACACGUUUUAAAUUAUCUCUAGUAAAAUUUCUCCUUUUAGCAUACCUCAUUGCAUUUGUCUACAAAGAACUAGAUUCUCCUGGAAACUCAAGAUUUAUACUUAAACAUCUACUAGGAUCUGCUUCCACCCAAUUUGUUGAUGCUUCAUUACUUGAGAUUGUCUGCACUUUAAAAGUAUCUCCAAUAAAUAACUUCAUUCUUCCUUUAACAAAAUUUGUUUCCAAUUUUUCUCCAUUUUCUUUUGAGUGUAUCAUACCAUCUCUAAAAAAAACAACUCUUUUAUGUAAUGCCUCUAUAAAUUCUUCACAUUCCCUCUUCGAGUGAUCUAUGCUAUCACACCAUAUGCAUCUAUGUACUACACCCUCCAUUGGCCUUGGUCUUUGUUUUGUUGAUAUUCUUGAUGAUUGAAUUUUCUCUUUAAGUUUUGUAAAUUUUAUUUGCAAAUCUCUCAUCCCACGUAUGAUUUCAUCAAUUCCCAUUUCUUCUUUCUUUGUUGAAUUGAUGAAAUCAUAUAUGGGAUGAGAGAUUUGCAACCUUCAAUGGCUAAUUCAAAUAAUUGAACCAUCUUGCUUUCUGAAAUAUGCUUCAAUUCCAUUUCUUUUACAUAACAUCUUAAAUAUUUUGUAAUAUCUUUUCCUUCAAAUUGAUCGUUCUUGUCUACGACCGCUUAUAAUGCUUUGUUAGCCAUACUCUCUUUGCAAUCUUUAACCUGUUGCUCUUGUUAUUGCAUGAAUAAGGUCAAAGCUUCAAACAUGCUUGUGGAGUUAGAAUCAAAAUACAUACCUUGUCCUCCAAAUGAAGCUCUUCUUCCAACUCCACUUGAAGCACUAUCCUAAUUGCCUCCUUCUAUUCUCUUUUAAUUCCUUCUCCAAAAUUCAAAUAAUAAAAAUAAUAAUAAAUUCCUUCCACCUCAAGCGUUUCACGUCGGAUUCACCAAAUAUGUCGUAAUGUGUGAAGUCUUGCUUGAGAAUGCUUCGGGCACCUGGUUGUAGAAGGAAGAAUAGAAAUUGCGAUAACAAAAUCCUAAUUCUAAUAGAAUAUUAAAAAUGCUCUAAUUAGACUAUAAUAAUGGUAAACAAAGGUAAUCAAAUUCAAAACAACUCAAAGAAAUUUCAAACAAAUAAUAAAAUUCUUAAAGAAAUAUUAGAAUGAUCACAAAUAUUACUCAAAUAUAUGUCAAUUCAACUUUAAUUUAAUUCUAGUUAAAAUCCUAUUGAAUUUCACUCAAACUUUAGACCAAACCUAAUUAAAUCCUAAAUCCUAAGUCAAAUCCUAAACAAACCUUAAAUCAAAUCCUAACCAAACACUAAACCAAACCCUAAUCCAAAUCCUAAAUCCUAAAUCAAAUCCUAAAUCAAACCCUAAAUCCUAAUCCAAACUCUAAUCCAAUCCUAAACCCUAAUCCAAACCCUAAACUCUAAACCAAACCAUAAAUCAAACCCUAAUCCAAAACCUAAAUCAAACCUUAAUCCAAACCCUAAAUCAAACCCUAACCAAAUCCUAAAUCCUAAUCCAAACCUUAAAUCAAAUCCUAACCAAACCCUAAACCCUAAUCCAAACCCUAAUCCAACCCUAAAUCCUAACCAAAUCCUAAACCCUAAUCCAAAUCCUAAUCCAAAUCCUAAUCAAAUCCUAAUCCAAACCCUAAAUCAAACCCUAACCAAACUCUUAACCCUAAUCCAAAUCGUAAUCCAAACUCUAAAUCAAACCCUAACCAAACCCUAAUCCAAACCCUAAACUCUAAAUCAAACCCUAAAUUGAACCCUAGCCAAACCCUAAUCCAAAUCUUAGUAAUUCCUAUGACUGUUUUAAACCUCAAUAUCUAAUGAAUAAACCAUUGAUCUCAAUUCAAAAUUUUCAUAAUUUUUAAAAAUCAAGUUUAAAACAAGCACAAAAAACUUGAAGAGGAUCGGUAUUACCAAAUUGACGAAAACCUCAAAAAUGUGUUUGGGUGUUAGCCGGCCUCCUUCUCUAAUCUUGAUGUCAAUCUUCCACAGCCAAUUUCUCUUCAUUGCGCCGUUCGAUUGGUUUCAAAUUUCUCAUGGACAUAGAAAAAUAAGUCUCAUACCUUCUCACAUAAGUUUUGCUCCAAUCCAACUACUAGAUUGCAUGAAUUCUUAAAAACCCUCACUAGACCUAAAAUUCUACUUUUUGAGACCUUGACCCGCUUAAACCUCAAUAUCUCUCAUUUUAACCGUUAGAUCGAGCUCAAAUUUACAACAUGUAUUUAACACAACUAUAAUCAUGAAUCCAAAAAAUUUCACUCGUAGAUCUACAACAAAACUCUCGAUAUAACUCAAAAGAUAAACCCUAUUUUAUUUCAUAAAAUCCAAGUCAUCCGAAACAAACCUCUACUUUGCAAAGCUCUUACAAACUCAUAUCAACUCCAAAUCACCUAAAAUCAAUGCCUAUAGAAACUCUAUCCAAUAUUCUAUCAAAUCCCAUUCUCUGAUCUGCCAAAGAGUCCCGGAGUCGUCGUCGAGACUCGGUUUUGUGCCUCAGGGUCUGAUUUUGACCCUGGCUCAUAACCGGCCCUCUCCGGAUAUCAACUUUCGUCUUCUUGAGGUAAUUUUUACUAAUUUGCACUUCAACUCCUCCCUAUAUAUGUCUAUAUCCUUUAUUUUUCUAAUCUACCUUGUUUUGCCUUAUUUAUGGCCUUAUAAAGUAAAUAGAAGUAUAAUUUGUAAAAAGGCAGCAUUAGCACCUUUAAUUUUUCUAUCCUUUUACUAAUAUCUAUUUUUUCAAGAUAAUUUGCUACAAUAUUUUUGAAGUGAGAUCCUCAAAACAUGAUAUAUUUCUUCACCCUUUCACCUACUAGUCAUAUUACAUCACGACAACAUGUUAAUGAAGUUUUGGAGCAAUAUUUAAGAUUUACCAUUAACUACCAAUAAGAUGAUUGGACAACUCUUUUGCCAUUGGCAGAGUUUGCUUAUAAUAACAUGAUACAUUCUUCUACAAAACAAACACCUUUCUUUACUAAUUAUGGUUAUCAUCCAUGAUUUGAUACUUUUGACUUUUUAAAAGUUGAUAAUCCUGUUGCGAAAGAUUUGGCGAUGAAAGUGAAGUGAAAAGAAGCUCAAGAACAACAAAAGAUCAAUGCGGAUGUCUAUCGAAAAGAACAACCACCAUUCCACUUGGGUGAUAAGAUAUGACUACUUCGUCGUAAUAUCAAGUCCACUCGUCUUUGUGACUAGUUGGACUAUCAAAGACUUGGACCAUUUUCUAUUUUUAUACAAAUCAAUCUAGUUGCAUAUCGUUUACAUCUAUCAGAGUCAAUAAAAAUCCAUCCAACAUUCCACAUCUCUCUUCUUGAACCAUACAAGACAAUGGAUAUACCAAGAAGAUGACAAGUUCCACCUCCUUCUAUAGAAGUGGAUAAUAAUAAAGAGUUUGAAGUAGAAGAAUUCUUAGAUUCAAGGCGGUACCAAAAUAAAUUAGAAUAUCUUGUCCAUUGGCACAGAUAUGAUAUUAGUAAAUAUACAUGAGAGCCAGUAAAAAAUCUUGCAAAUGCAGCAAAGGCGGUGGAGGUUUUUCAUCGAUGACAUUCAUCAAAAUCAAGAUGAAAAUCUUUUUUAUAAAAGAAACAAGAUCUAGGGAAGAUAACAUUCUACUUCAAUCUUUGUUUAUAGCUUCUUUGUAGUUGUGAUGCUUAGGAGAUGGAGAACCAACAACCAGCGGAUUCAACUCAAGAGCCUUCAUUUACUGACGUGUCAGAUGAGACAUUAUGAUUGUCACAACCUUCAAGACGACAUAAUCAAGAUGAAGAUCUUCAGAAACGACAUGUUUUCAUCUCGAAUAGAUGGCGAGAUAUAACGGGUUUGGUAUCAUGACUUUGGAAGGGACUUCCAAUGUUUGGUGAUUUUACUAGAGGUAGGAACAACUCCUGAUGGUGUUCUAAAUGUUCUGUUCGAAGGAAGUUAUGAAGGCCUCAACAAUGAUCAAAUAAUUGAGUGGUCCUACUGCCUUGGUAUAGGACACUAUUAAUGGUUGAGAGGCCCUAUCAAUCAACUUCGAAAAGAACAAAGAUCAGAAUAUAUGGCAAAUACAAUUUGUUGUAUCAUAGAUUUCCUCAACAUACAAUGAUCGUUCCUCGUGGAACUCGUCCCUAGAAGAGGAGGGAGGUUAAUGUCACGGAUCUACUCAUGUAAGCCAGUAAUUAUAUAUAUAUAAAUAAAUAGAAGUAAGUAAAAGUAGAUAAAAGUAAGUUAGAUCUAUAGUAUUUGAUAUGGAAGCUUCCUAAAAGCUUCACAGACACUGCUUUGACUUUAUAGGUAUCUUUAAUUGAUUUUUUGGGAUUAGAAACGUGGUCAAUAAAUUGGCCAUGUACCACACAUGUUGUUAGCUUGAAGACCAAGCUAAUUAUGUGGCCCACACGUAGAAAAACUUGCCUUGUAAGUCAAGGCAUGUGUCCUACAAAGUCAACAUAUAUUGAAGGUCCUAUAGAACAUCGCCAUGUAGUCCCUAGUUAGAUAGUAUAUAUAGAGACAAGAGGGAAGCUUUCUUCACUCUUGUCAAUUCCUUUCUUGUUUCUAGUCUAGUUUCAAGAGUCUUCAUGUUUUCUAGUCUUUGGUAAUAGCCAUUCCAGUUUCUCUUUCAAUAUAUAUAUUUUUUUAUUUAUAUUUUGUUAUCUUUCUUUGAGUGAAGGCUCAUUUGUCUGAAUUACUUUUUCAUUGAGUUCUUAUCCUUGAUAGCGAUCGCACAACAAACAUGGCUCUAUUACCUAUUUUUAGAGGUUUUUUGGGUAUGAAUCUCAAUCAAUAUUUGUCUCAAUUUCUGAUAGCAUUCUAGCCAAUAAUAGAAGAACUGAAGAUAUUUGGUUACAAUGGUUGCCAGCAACCUUAAAAGACAUGGCAUUUGAAUGGUACAACUGUCAACAAGUUGUUCAAUUUUUCAAUUGGAAAGCAUUGAAGAAUAUAUUUUUAAUCUAUUUUCGCCCAAUUGGUUUUGAGGAUCAACUUUGAGAAAGAUUAAUGACUAUCAAAAUGGAUCCAAGAGAGGUAGUAGAAUCAUACUAUGGUUGUGUGGUAGAUACACUCCGUAAGUUGCCAAAUCACCAAAUGCCAAAGGCUUUUGUAUUGUCAAUAUUAAUCAAUGGAUUGUACCCACCCGAACUAAAAAUAUUUGUAAAAGAGACUUAAUCAAAUACGAUAAUUACAUCUCUUACUAGAGCCAAGGUUUGGGAGGAAUGCCAUUAUGAUAAGUUUUUAACUGCAAGUGCCACGAUGAUUCUAGUUCAAGGCAGCUAUCAAUAUUUGACUUGGAACGGAUCAAUGGGUAGUUAUCCACAUGUGUUAGAAACAGUGGCCAAUUCCAGUGCCAAUAUUCAGAGGCCAAUUAAUGUCAUCCCAUUGCAAGCUAUACCACCGAACAUGACAAUAGCGUAUGUUCCAUAUUUUCCAUAUCAACAACAAGCGCCAGAGUUACUAACAAUACCAGCCCCAAAAGAUUCCAAUGAAACCUUGUUAUUGAACUUGACAAAGAAAAUGGAGGAAAUGGUCAUUAAUAUGGCCAAGGAUAAAGAGAAGAGGCACAAGCCUACCAAUAUUAGGACCAAUGUAUGGUGAAGUAAUUGUAAGGGCCAUGGUCAUUUGGUAACAGAAUGCUUUUCAACUUCACAAAUGAUGGAUCAAUGUACAUUUUACGGAAGAAAGUACUUAAAAAUUAAUUGUUGGAAUUGGCAAAGGUAACAACAAUUCAGUAAUCAGACCAUGAUCCCACCAACUUAGUGAGAAGUCAUUAAGUUCAAACAAGAAAUACGUUUGGAUGGAAUAGAAAUCGAUCUAAUCGACAAACUCGAGCAUUCAAUAACUUUCAAAGUUCCAAUUUUAAUCAAAGGUCUGCAUCAAACUCCAAUAACUAUGUUAAAGAGCAACAGAGGUAUCAAUAAUAUGCUCCACCAAUGUCAUCAAACCAAAUACCCUCCUUACCAAUGGGACAACCAGGAUCAUUUUUUAACCCUACAUAGAACAAGCCUAGUAGGUAUAUAUCGGUAGAGACAUCCAAUAUGCCUGAUGAGGGUACAAUAAGAUCACUUUGUUGUUUCUGUUGCAGACAGAUUGGUCAUUAUACUAAUGAAUGUCUCAAUCUUAGAGCCAGUGAUGAUUAUGCGUCACUGUGUGGAAAUUACAAGCAGUCAGGGCAUACUUAUUAGCAAUAUAAUGCUCCAUUCAAUUUCAAUAAUCAGGAUCAGCAGAUCCAAAACUAAGGAAAAAUGGAAGAGAUAAAUCAAGGUCCUCAAGAUUCUUUGAUAAAUUGGAUGGAAUGUAUCCAAGCCGUUCUUACCAAGAGUUAGAAAAAAGAGAAAGGACCAAUUCAAUAUUUGGAUGAACUUGAUGCGAAGGGCCAAUUUGAUCCAAUUACAGGGACAUCCAAUCCAGGUCAUAGUAUGGGCCUCUUAUCAAGUAUGAGACCUGACUCGAUUGGGCAACCUAAUGAGGUCUCGAUUACGGAGGCUUCGAUUCUAUUUCAAGCUGUUUUAUUCUCUACGUAGUUUUUUGAAAUAUCCUAUCCAUUGAAAGAUCUUCUUGGAGGUACAAAUUCCAAAAAAACUUUGGCUAUUGUUGUAAUUUCAAGUCUACGAUGGAAGAAUAUCUUACCUCUCGGAGUUAAACUCAACUCAAUGAAAAGAAAGAAGGCAUUGGAAAUUAUCUUAAAUAUGAAAUCAUAUGAUAUUUUGAAGGAUCUGGAUGCUAUUCGACCUUCUAUUUCUAUGAAGCAACUUCUAACUGUUGCACUAGAGUAAGGUUCUACAUUGAAUUCAUUGUUAACACGACAUUGGCAAUGCAAUAAGAAAGUUUGUAAAGUCAGUUUGAAUCCUGAUCCAAGUGCACCAACCAUCGAUGUUUUGAUUGACGGUGUUAUGAUCUCGGGUGUUCAAGUGGAUGGUGGUUCCAGGGUCAAUUUAAUAAAUGCUGAUACAAUGAAUGCUUUAGAUUUGGAAUACUUAGUACCCACAACAUUGUUGUUAAGGAUGAUAGGUUAUAGCCAGGUUAAACCAAUGGAUAUUUUACGGAGUGUUCAAACUAUAAUUAUCGAUAUUACGUAUGGAAUCAACUACAUUAUCUUUUGGUUACAACGAUCGACUUUAUCGUAUCCAAUUUUAUUGAAAUGAUCCAGGUUUUUUCAAGCAAAGGCCAAGAAUGAUUGGAGUCGAGGUACUUUGACAAUUGACAAAAGUGGAGAUAAAAUGGUGUUACAAAUGUACCUAGUAUACUAUCACGGAGAAUUUCAAUUGCCAACAUGUAAAUUGACAUCGGACGAUGAACUUAACUCAGAUGAUAAUGCAGUAGCACUAAUUACGGAGGCGUCCGUGGAAGCAGCCCAAUAUCAUGGAGUGGUGUACCAAUGUGGCGGUCCGGGGGAGUACUUGAUAUACUUGCUAGAUUCAGAAAUCUCUACUAAAGUUAAUAUUGAUUGGAUGACGAAGUAUGAUAUGUACCAUGUGAGUGCCCUGGAUAUAGGAUUCAGUACUUUACACAUGUCUGAUUUUUAACUAGCACCGGGAUUGAAAUAAAACAUCGCCGUUGCACCUUUAUGUCAAACUAUCAACUUGGCAACCAUAGCUGAAUCUCAGAUAAUUAAGAUCUAUGAAGAUAUUAAGGAACAGGAGUUGAUCUACUAAACAGAAUUUUUCUUGCAUCAUAAAUCAGCUUUUGCUUAGACUUAUGAUGAUCUAAAAGGUAUCCUCGCUGAAGUUUGUGAGCAUCAUAUCAUUUUAGAGGAGAACGCUAAACCCGUACAGCAGAGGCAACAUCGCCUUAAUCCUAAAUAUUUUCUCAUGGUGAAGGAGGAAUUGGACAAGCCUCUUGCAAUUGGUUUUAUUUACUCGGUAUUGAAUAAUGAGUGGAUUUCUCCAAUUGUCAUGGUGCCGAAAAAAUAUAAAAAAAUCCGAAUUUGUCAGGAUUUUUGAAAACUUAAUGCAGCCACCAAGAAAGAUUUCUUCCCAUUACCUUUCAUGGACAGUAUGGAUAACAUGUUGUUAUUAUCACCAAGUAGUAAAAGAAUAGGAGUGGAGCAUCAGUUAAAGACAUUUUGUGGUGUUGUUUUGGGUUGGUUGGAGUGCCAUUUUCUUGUGUUUCUUGUAUAUUCGAGAGUAGUAGUUUCAGUUAAGAGUUAAUAGUGAGGAGUUGGUUACAAGUAUCAAUUGAAGAUGUUCAAGAAUGGAUGAGUCAACAUUAGCAUCAAUUGGAACUUCGUGAUGUCCAGAUCUUGAAACUAAAGGCUGAGGUCAAUGAAUUGGGAGAGUAUAAUGAAAUAAAAUAAUAGUAUAAUAAAAUAGAGUAAUAGUCCAUAGAAUAGUCAAUUGAGGAGGAUGGAUGAUUGAUUUAGUUAUUAAAAGUGGUUAAUUAUAGGAUUACGGUUAGAAUCUAGAAAUCAAAAGCAAUUAUAUAGAAGUUGUAGAAGUUUGUUGGAGUGCCAGAUUAUGAUAGUCAUGAGCCAGGAUAAGCUUGGUACUACUUCUUUGUUUCUUUGUGUUCUUUGUUAUUGAAGAGUAAUGGAUAGUUUCUGAAUACUGAGAAGUGAGUCUAUGGAAUAAAUGAGAGAUUGAUUUAUGAGUUAUUGAUUAUGUAAUUGGAGUACUGAAUGAUUGAAUUAUAUGAAGAGUUAUUGGAAGAUUAUGAUUGUUGUUUAUUGAGAGCUAUGUGUGUUUUGGACAAAAGAAGUUGGUGAUUAUGGAAAUUUUGUGAAUUCAGAUUACUGGAGUGAAAUCUGUUAUUCCUGGUGUUUGAUAGAAAUUAUUGUGUUUUGAGCGAUUUUUUGAGAGUGCAGAGUUAUACACUGUUAUUAUCAAUUGAUGAAAGAGUAUUAUUACUAGGAGAAAGCAUUAUAGUAUUUCUUAGUAUUUUAGUGGUUUGGAAUACAGUUAAUUGUGUUAUCCUAACAAAUAAAAUUCAAGCACUUAGUCUUUCCUUGUGUUCAAAUUCUCCUAUACAAGUUUAUUUUGAAAGAAAUUGUAGAAUAAGUAAAAUAAUAAUCACACUUAGGAAUCAGCGUUCGAUGGUUAUAAUGUAAUACAGGAGUUGAUAUGUGUUUCAACUUGUUUUAGUUGGAGUACGUUUUAUUAGAUGUCAAUAUAAAGAAUGCUUUACACAUAUUUUCUUUUUUUAUGUUUUAUUAAUCAUUUAUGGUUAUAACAUCUGUCUACCUCAAGAAAUUAUUGGUGAUUGUUGUGUCAAGGUAAUGUUGUUUAUGUAAAAUUUAUAUUGAUGUAAUUUAUUCCUAUUUUUUUCCUAUUCCUUCCUACUAGAAUUUUUUUUUUAAUUUAUAGAAUAUUUUUUAUUUAAAAGAUGGUUUUUUAAAAAUUAUUAUUUUAUAAUUGUUAUGUGAGCCACUUAAAUUGUGAAAAUCUUUUUUUUUUCUAAAUUAAAGAUGAUUUCUUGAUAAGAAAUAUUUAUUAUAAGUAAAUAGUGAGAUGUAAAAAGUUUGGUAGUAUGAUUAAUUAAAGGAAUAUUUGUGCUUGAUGAUAUUUUUUUAGAUUGAUUUUAUGUUAAAUAAUAUUUUAAUUCUAUUAUUAGAAUUUUAUUAUAUAAACUAUAAUUAUUGAAUAUUAAGUAGUAAUUAGGUUAAAUUAUGAGAUUUUAUAACUAGUUAUAUUUAGUAUUAUAAUUUUUUGAUUAUUUUUUAUAUAAUUAUUAAUAAAUAAUGUUUCAUUUGAACUAUUCUAUAAAUUAGUAAAAUAUUUUAAUUCAUUUUUUUGUGUAAUCAUUUUUUGAAUUUUUCUUAAAUAUGCUAGUUUUACAAAUUAUAUUCUUUGUGUUCUCUCAAAUAUUAAUUUCUUAAAUAAAAGCAUUAUCACAAAUAUAAAUAUUUCUACUUAACUUUUUCUUUAUUUUAAAUCUAGAUUUAUCUAAAUAUUAGGUAUUUUUUAUUAAAAUAAUCAUGUUUAGAUUUUCUUUUAUAAAAUUAUCUAUAGAUGAAUAAGUAAAAUUAUGGCUAAUUAUAAAUACUAAAAAUAUAAAAUUAGAUAAAAAAAUACAAAUCUAAAAAAAAUUUAUAUUACUAUUUGAAUUAAUUUUUUUUAAUGUUAAUAUGUUGAAUUACAAUUCUUACAACUUAAUAUAUAAAAAGGUUAAUUAUAAAUUUCAUAUUAUUAUUUUUUUUCUAUAUUUAUGUAUAUAUAUAUAUAUAUAUAUAUAUAUAUAUACAUAAUAUUUUAUUUUGAUUGGAUCAAAGUUUUUAUUUGAAAUCAAUUUUUUUUUUUUUUAAUUAUACACAUUUUGUUCUUAUUUCUUUAUCCCAUUUAUACUUUUUAUAUCUUAAAAUAUUCUUAUUUUUUAAUGUAUGAAUUAUCAUAUCUCUAACAACCAAUGCUUUUAGUUGUGAUGUAGUUAUGAAUAAAUUAAUCUUAAAUAAAUUUUAUUUAUUUAUUUAUUUUAAUAUUUUUUUCUUUGUAAAUAGAAGAUUUUUUUCUUUUUUUAAUAUUAUUUUUUAUUUUUUAUCAGAUAUAUCUUAAAUUGCAUAAUAUAUUGUAUGUGUGAUUUAAUCUAUAAUAAUUUCUUUAUUUUAUAUUUUAGUUAAUGAUAUUUUAUGUGAAUUUUCUAUAUUAAAACUAUAAAAAAUUUAGAAAAUUUAAUGUAAUAGUUUUUACUACACAUGUUAAAUUUUUUUCCUAAUCAUGGAAGUCCAAUAUCAUCUAUUUUUUUUUAUGAUUUAUUUUUAAUAAAAAAAGAAUUAUUUCUAAAAUAGAAUAUAAAAUUUUAGCUCGUUUCCUGUUUAUUUAUGAAUUAUCUUUUAUUUGUUUAAAAAAUAGUAUAUCUCAUCACAAAGUAUUAAGCACUUUCAUUCAUAAUCUCUUUUAUAUCAUAACAUCUUUACAUGUUAAGUAUAUUUCUUUUAAGAUAAAUCUUAAGGAUUAUAAUAUUUUAUAAAUAUUCAAUUUUUUUAUAGUUUAUUCUAAUGUACAAAACUAAUCUUUACCUCAUUUUAACUCAAUAAUUCUAUAAAUAAAAAUAAAACAUCAUACCUACUAAUUACUAUUACAUAUUUAUGAAUUAUACUACUAUAUUAUAUAAAGCAUCUUUUGUAUUAGCUUUAAUAUUAAUAAUGUUUUAUUUAAAUAAUUGCAUCAAUCUGGAAAAUAAAGCUAAUAUAUAUAUAUAUAUAUAUAUAUAUAUAUAUGGAUUUAUUUUAUAUUUUAAUGCAUAAUUAUCCUAAAUUAGUUUCUUUUUUAAUAUCAUCUUUACAUUAUUUUGAUGUAUGUCUUAAUUUAUGAUUAUUUUUUAUGUAUUUUUUUGUUAAUUACUUAUUUAGCUUUAGAUACAAAAGUUUUAUUAAAAUCUAAUUAAGCUAGUUUUGAGUAUAUUAUUAAAAACAACCUUAUUAUUUAUUUUACAAAAUUUAUCAAUUAAAUUUCUUUUGGUGCAAAAAACUUACAUUAAUGUUUGUAAAUAGUGUAUAAAUUUGAAUAUUAUAUAUUCCUAAUUUGAAUGAUAUACACUAUUCAUAGUAUAUGGCUCUUUGACUAUAAUACAUACUAUAUGUGGAAUAGUGUAAAUCAAAGAGAAUGAUCUAAAAAGACAUAGGUUUUGAUUUUUCUAUCAACAUUUUAUUUUUUUCUUCCACUCAAUGUACUUUGCUAAUCUCCAUAUUAAAAUAGACAAUACAAGACAACAUACAUAGUAGAUACAUUGACCAUCAUAUAAAUCAAAGCUAUUUGCACACUUUUAAGGUCUUUGUGAUCUUAUUCCAUUCUAUAAUAUAAGGCAAUGAGAUAUACAAGGAUUGUGUGGUAACAAAAUUCAAUAAGAGGAGUUUGUACAAAUACCCCUUCAAUGCUCACAAAGAGCAUCAAGAUCUAAAGCUUGCUCUAAUGAUUUUUUUUAAAAAAAAUAUAAAAAUUAUCAAAUAAGACCAUCUAUAACUUCAAAAUUAAAACCAAAAAUCAAAAACCAUUAUAUGACAGAUUGUAGCCUCAUUCCACUUGAAGUACAUGCUAAGGUCAUAUUUUUUAAUCAUGAAUAUAUCUUCUUGAAAGUGGAUUUGGAUUUAAAAAGAGAAAAAUAAAACAUAUAAUUACAAAAUAACAAAUAGUCUUGAAUUAAUUUAUUGCUCCAUAAAAUAUUUAUAGGAAGAAUUAGAGAGAUUGAAAAUUAAAUAGUUAUCUAAAUAAUUGAAUAUGGACUACUAUGAAUAGAUAUAUAAUAAUAUUGAGAAAUAUUUAAUAUUCUAGUGCAUUCAAAGUACCUUAUUCCAUAAAUAAAAAAUAUACUAUUGAUUGUUUUACUAAUAGAUAUGGAUGUACAAAAUUGCAUGAAAAAAAAGAACUUAUAAACUACAAUUUGCUAGAUUUUUGUCAUAAAUGAGGUAAUGCCUCUUAAAGAAACCUUCAAUUAAAUAGUUCCAUGAAAGUAUUUUAAACAAGCUAAAAUUUAAUCACCUCUUACAUUGUAUUUUUUAUCUAUUUAAUUAAUUACAACUUUAUUUUUCUUCCAAAUUCUUUUAUGAUUCCAUCAAAUCGUACAAAUCCAUCUCUCGUCUCACAAACUUAUACUCCAAAAUAAAAAACCAAACAAACACAACAACAAAUCUUACAUACCAUAUUCUUCCUUUUUUUCUAUCAUCAGCUUCAAUUCUUAUGUACAAAUGAAUUAAUUGUGUAUUUUUAAAUUUUUAUCAUCUUGGUUAAUUUAUUAUAUUGUUUCUACUUUACAUUGUUAUGUUACUUAGAUCAUUAUUGAUUGAUGAUGGAAUAGUGAUGCAUAUAUAUUUAAAACUAAUGUGUGAAUAUAUCAUUACACAUCAAGUAUAUGUAUUUAUGCACUAUAGCUAUCUUUGUACUUUUCUUAUUAAAUUUCUUUAGUCAAGUGUGGGAUUCUUGUCUAAUUGUAAUAUCAAGAUUCUAGUAGGUAUUAGUUGUGAUUGUAUUACAAAUUACAUUGUAAUUUAGUCAUGCGUGGCAUUUUUUGUUGGAAGGUAAGUUGAAUUAUUAGAUGUUUGUCUACAUAUUUAUCUCAAAAUUUUAAUGCGUGGCUCUUCAUUCAAAUUUUAGUGAUGGUUGCUAUCUUUCUUAAGAAGGAUCUCAAUUUUAAAUAAGUAAUAAGUUACUAUUAGUCUUUUAGGUUUAAUUGGUAUUUAAUUUAACUAAGUAUAAUAGAUUUUUAAUUGGUAAUCAUGAACUAUCACGUCUUUAGCUACUAAAAAAUUUAGGCCUUGUAUAAAUAUCACAAGAUUUUAACCAAUAAAACCAAUGUAUUCAUGGCUAAUUCUUUGAUUUCCUUAUUAAAUAUAAAUUUUGCAAAGUCAAUUUUUUUGGAUUUUUUAGAUAAUUUUUUUCAAAGAUAAAUAUAUCUAUUAAUAGUAUUAUUAUGAUAAUUAGAAUAUUUUUUUUAAAUAUCAAUUAUUAAAUAAAUACUUAUAUUGUGUCAUAAUUGGCCACAAUGCAAUUUUUUGUUCAUUAUAUGAAUACUUUAUAGAUAAAUCUUUGAGAGAAUUACUUCAUAUUUAGGUUCAUAUUUCAUAUUGAUAUAGCAUUGACACUUGCAGAGUUUCUAGUAUCACAAUAUUAUCAAUUUUUUUUUUAUUACCUAUUAUAAUUUUGUUUGAAUGUGGAAAAGAUAGUAGGGAUGAAAGAAAAGAAAAGAAGAAGCAAUAGGAGUAGGAGUAUGAUGGACAAAAAAAUAAGUUCUAAUUAAUAUUGAUGCAAGAAGACCAAAAAUAAUAAGAGAAUAGAAGGCAUGUAAGCACAAAAUUUAGCAAGUUUUUCAAUAGAUCAAGAUGAAUAUUAUGUAGUAGAUGAUUAUGGAUGAAGUUGCUAAUAAUAAGAAAAAAGUAUUAGCUUGCAAAAUUUAUACCUUUCCAACUAGCUUUUAUUGUAGCAUAAAUGUAAACUAUAUAAAGACUAAUUGAUGGUAGAAUGACUAUGAAAAUAUUAUAGCCAUCAUAGCAAAUUAAAAAAACAUGAUCUUCAUCAAAUACUAAUAACAUGAAAAAGAGAAGAAAAUAUUGUUAAUAACUACUUGUAGUCAAGGAUCUAAACAAGGAAAAUGAUAGAGUGUUUGUAUGAAAAAUUGAUAAAGGAUUUUGAUUGGUACCAAAAGGUAAGAAUAAAGUUUUUUUAACGUUUUUAGUUGAACUUGAAAAAGACAUCAUCAAUAAUAUUAAAUAUUUUGUCUUCCACUCUCAAUACAUUAGCAAAGAUAAUGCCAAUGUGGAAAUGAUUCACUAGUAUUGGAUACAAUUCUUUAUAGAUAACUAAAAUAUAAUAUAAUAAGUAUAAAAUAAUAAGCUCAUGAUCAAUGUUAUUCAAAUGCCACUUAUCAAACUAUAAAUUAUAUGUCAUUCGAGAUUGUUUAAAUAUAAGUCAUUAAAUAUUUUAUAAAUGAUAUUUUUAAUUGAUUUAUGUCACUAAUAUAUUAUUAUAUUUUACAAGAAAGUUUCAAUCAAGGGAAUUCAAUAUGAAUAUUAAAGCAUUGCAUUUUGUAAAUAACAUAAACAAUAUCAAAACUCUUGGCUUAUAAGAUUAUAACAAUGUUAAGUAUGUAAAUAUUGUAUUUAAAAGAAUAGGAAUGAAAAUGGUUAUUUUUAUGACUUGUAGUAUGUAUUUUUUAACAUGUGUAUUAUUAAUAAUCUUUUAAAAUAAAAAUUAUUCCUAUCUAAUUUGAGAUGUACUAGAUAAUAUUCUUUAGGUAUCUUAUUAAUUGAUUAUAAAGGGCUUUGUAAAAAAAGAAGUAUGGCUACAAUGGCUUAAUGAAUACCAUACUGAACAACAUAAUUUCUAUACCAUUAAUAUGAAUAAAGUAUGAAUUAAGUGCUUAUCCAACUAUAAUAAGAAUAACAACAAUCUAGAGAUUUAUAUGAGCUUUAUAACACUAAAAGCUAAUAUUAUUAAAUUUAAAGCAUUUGCAAAUAACAAUGUCUAAUUAUAAAACAACUUUUUGAUUUCUAACGAAAAUAAUGCUAAGUCAAACCUAUAAAAAGUAAUAUAAGUUCAAAGCUAAAAAGACGAUAUUUGGAUUGAUAUAUCAAAAAUGAUCAAGUAUUCUAAAAAAGACAUUCUUUAUUAAGCUUGUAGUAGAAGCAAUCAAAUAUGACAAUUCAAUGAGGGAUGAAAAUGGCUCAUAUAUGCACUCAAGGCCAUGAUUUACUCAAACAUUUUGCUCAAUAUAAUAAGGAAGUAGCAUAUCAAACAACUCUUGUUACAAAAAAAAAAUUAUUAAUGCUAAAAAAAAAUAUUUACUUUGAUGAUAAAGUUAUGCUACCUAUAAAGAUAUAUGAAUAACUUCAAUACUAAUUUUAAAAAAUAAAAUGAAAAUUAACUUAAAGGCUUUAUUCUCUAAAACUAUCCCAUGGAGAGCUAUUCUUUAUACCGACCUACUAAUCAACUAGAAAUACUACCAUACGAGAGGCUACUAUCUCUUAAAUCUUUGAAAAUUGAGAAAAGUAUCAAGCUCUAUUCAACAAAAGAUCAAGACUGCCCAACAAGUAAAAGUUUCAGUUCUAUACAUAUAAUUCUUAUCAUUAUUUAUUUUUUGUUUAGGUUUCAAUUUUUGUUGCAUUGAUUGAUUCUUGUUACACAAGAUGUUAUCAAUGCCAUCAAAGUAUUUAUUUAUUAAGUUUGCAAGUUCUUGAAAUUAAAUUUAACAACAAAAGAUCAAUUGCUUGUAAAAUCUUGGAAUAAAUUGUCUAGCAGAAAGAUAGAAAAGUUGCUCAAUAUCAUACCAAUUUCUUUCAUGCAUUGAUUGUUUGGAUUAUUUGAAGAAGCAACCAUGUGAUAAUGCAAUUGACAUGUUUUGACAUUUUAUGUGGACUUGUUGGUUAUUUACUUCUAUUUUUUAAUAAAAUACUUACUUAGUAUUAAAAACAAUUGCUUCAUCUUUAUUUUGGUUAGGUAAAGUGUUUUCUACUUGUUGAAUUUGUAUAUCCUAUGUCAACAUAGAUAGAUAAACAAAAUAAAGGCCAAAAAGCCCCUAUAAAAUAUUUGUUAUAUUACUACUUAGUUUUAAUAAGGCUCAAAAUCUUAAUCACAAAAUCAAACUAUUUUCAAGCUAAAUCUCAAAUAUAUAAAUGUUAUCUUUUUAAUUUUGAUUUUAUUUUAUUUUACUCUAAUUCUUUAUGAUAACUCUAAUUACUUUAUUCAUUAUCAUACAAGAUAUAAAAGAAUAACCUACAAUUCAAAAUCCCCUUCUAAGUAUUUUUUUUAUUUAAUUUAUUAAGUAAAAAUGUGCUAAAAUAACACAUUUUGUUUUAAAAGUAAUUAUUUUUAGACUUUAUCUUCUCUACUUUAUUCUUUUUUCUUACAUCUAUCAUUUAUGUAAGUUGUGAAAUUAUAUCAAUCAUAAUAAGGGCAAACAAUCAUAAAAUGAUUAUAAUAUUUGAUAUUGUUAAAUGUUUUAUUGAUGAAAGUUUUAUUUAUCAUUAUUAACAUAUAGUUUUGGUGUUGUUGUUGCCCUCAUAUUAUAAAUAUGAACACCAAACCAAAUUGGAAUGAAGAUAAAAAUAUAACAUUUCAAAACUUAAAAACAACUCUAUUGUUGAUUUGAAUUCAUUGUUUAGCCAAUCUUUUAUGAGGAUGGUGCAUUUGAAUUUCACAUUAAAAUGCAUCAUUAUCAUACACUAAAGCAAAUGGUGAAUACCACUUGGUUUCAAACACAUCAUUAUUUUCCAGGCACUUGUACCCUUGUACCCUUACAACAUAUUCACAAAAUCACAUAACCAUCAAAAUGCAUUAUCAAAGCAUGCCUCUGCCAUUAACCCCACCAUACAGAAGAAUAUGUACACUUGACAACGUACCAUCCACUGAAGAAAUUUAAAACAAAAAAAUGGAACCAACAAAAACAUUACAAAAUUAUAACAAGAAAGAAACGCUAAAAAGGAAUAGAAUAAAAUAAAUGACAGGGUUCUAUGCCCUUGCAACGUAAUCGCGACUGAACCAUGAUCGGCGGAGUGUGGCCCCAGGACCCGAGAAGAGAACCGUAAUCGCACGCAGCUUGCAUCCAAGUGCAACAGUCGAGGGUCCGCUUCAGCAUGCGGGAAAGAGAGUGAAGGGCGUACCCCUCAAACACACGCCCUGUGGAUUCAAGUCCGCAGAGAGCAUAGGUGCACACGAACUCUUCAAAAUCAACAGGGACAAGAUCGCCGAGGCGGGUGAGGGCCAGAAAACACGAACUCGGAACAGGGCGCCAAGGCCUAAACAGGCACCGGCGCCUAGAAGACACCGCAGUGGGGGUAAGUUAUCCGGGUUGGGACUUUGAGAUGGAUGGGCCCCCGCGAAGGGGGCAGUCCAAAAAAUAGAGUAUACCGGUAUGUGUACCCAGCGCACGGUAUUCUUUAGUAAAAGGCGAAAGAAUAGUUCGCUCUGAGCUGAGCACCCGGCUCCUUCCCUGCUCUCGCCUCCGACCGCGCUCCAAAUACCCCAGUCGCAACGGAUUCCGCACCACCCAUAUGGGUUAUCUGAACCCCUCGCCCGUGACCCGGCACGCUCUGCCAUCAUUCCGGCGAAGCAGCACAGCUGGGGUGAGAUGAGAGGCUCGCGACGCGAUGCUGGCUGAUACCCGUGGUCGCUCCUGUGAGGGGGACGGAAAGCCCGAUGCCGUGCAUCCAGAAACUCCGUUCCCCAAAAGAGGAGCAGCGUGUUCCACGCAAGUCACAGGGGCGUCAGGCCCUCGAUCCGCAGAGCCAACGGGUUGCGCUCGAUGGCAAUGGCAGAGGCGUCACAUGGGCAUGACACUUGACGAUGUCCGGUGGUGGUGAGGGGUGGGUGACGUAGGUGAGGUUUUGUGCGCGCGUGAGGUGCAGCGCAGAGAGGAAUGGCUUCCGCUUCGACGCCGGUGCUAGAGUUGGCUGGGCAUCAGCGGAGCACUUGUUGAGUGCGGAGGUGUGUGGUGGGCGUUGCAGUCGGCGACGCGAGCCCAAUGUGUGUGUGAAGUGCGUGAAGAAGGGUGUGCAGGUGAGGGUGACGGCGGAGGGGGAGUUAGAAUGUGGGCGGCGAGCGGCGUGCAUGCGAGUUUUCGUGGUGUAGUUGGUUAUCACAUCAGUCUAACACACUGAAGGUCUCCGGUUCGAACCCGGGCGAAAACAUGUGCGGGGAUAGCUCAGUUGGGAGAGCGUCAGACUGAAGAUCUGAAGGUCGCGUGUUCGAUCCACGCUCACCGCACCGCAUUCGCAUUUUGUAUUCCCUCUUUGCGCCAUCCCGCACGCGCACAUGCCUUCCUCGCCCACAACAUCACCGCACCCUGGCACAGCGGAGGUUGAGGUUGCCCCUCCCCGCUCCCCACUCCCCACUCUGCUCGUGUACCUCACUUCACCCUCCUCCGCGCCUCAGCAUACUCUCCCACUGCUACGCUUACUUUUCCCACCCCAACAUGGACCAUCACACAAACCAUCCAUGGCAUUCCAAAUCUCUCUUACCAACCACAUCACUCCUCCUUCCAUUCCUCUCCUAUCCCUCCCAUCCAAACACCACCCUCUACACCCACUUCCUCCAAGCUUCCAACACUCAUCAUGGCAAUGGCCUCCUCUACCCAUCUUCCCAUAACAAACAUAUUGUAUACAUCUCACCUCCAUCAAAUGAAAAAAACAAAAAUCUCCAAGAUGUCAAUGGGCUCUCAAAUGGAUGUAUUAAGUUCACAUUAAGAACAUUUUCUAGAGAUCUUUGAAGCAAAUCCCAUUCAAAAAAACUAAAAAAUCACUUGAAGAUAAUAUAGUGUUAAACUAGAUUAGCUAUUGCUAAAGACAAGAAGAUUAAAAAGUCUUGAAACAAGACUAAAGACUACAAAAGAAUUGAUAGGAGUAAAGAAUGCUUCACUCUUGCCUCUUUAUACACUCUUAACUAAGAGCAAUGUGGUAGUGUCAUAUAGAACCUCCAAAACAUGUUGACUUUGCAAGAUACAUAUUUUAACUUACAAGGCAAGUUUUUUAUAUAUAUGCUACAUAAUUAGCUUAUUUUCUAAAUUAACUAAAUAUUGUUAAGUUAUUUAUGAAGUUUUUAGCCUAUAAAUCAAUUAUAAAUACAUAUAAAGUCAAAGCAACAUCUACAAAGCUUUUUUAAGAAAAAAAUUAUAAAUAGAAAUAUUUUUAUUUUAUUCUAUCUAAUAAUAUGAAUAAAUAUUUAAAUAAAUAUGCAUAUCUGUGAAAUUAUCUUCCUUUCUAGAGAUGAGUUCUUUGAGAAGCAGUCAUCAUAUGUUGAAAAAAUCCAAGAUGUAAAAAAUAUAAUUAUGUGGCAAAUAUGCAUAUCUGUGACAUUAUCUUCCUUUCUAGAGAUGAGUUCUAUGAAAAGUGGUCAUCAUAUGUUGAAAAAAAUCUAAGAUGUGGCAAAUUAUAUUUGUCACAUACUUUGAUUUUUGUUCUCUUCAAAGAUAGUUGAUAGGUCCUUUUAGCCAUUGAUAGUGUCCCAUGUCAUGACACAAAGACCUCUUUGUUACUUGAUUGUUAUUCAGGUCUUUGUAAUUACUUUCAAAUAAAAUAUUUGAAAUACCAUUUGGAGUUGUUUUGACUUUUAAUGAAAUGACUAACAUCAAGAGUCUCUUCUAAAGUUGUGCUACCAAAUAAAGAGUAUCUUACCAUCUAUUUGAGAAAAGAUGUGUCAUUCUUGAACAUCUUUAUCUUGAUUAUGUAGUCUUCAAAGUUGUGAUAAUUGCAAUAUUUUAUCCGAUAUGUCAACAAGUGAUAGCUCUUGAAUUAAAUUUACUAGUUUUUGAUUUUUCAUCUUUUUAGUAUCACAAAUACAAAAAAGUAUCAAACAAAAGUAGAAGGUAGAAUGCUAUCUUUUCAAUAUCUUAUUUCUAUUCUUUGUCUUGAUUUUAAUGUAUGUCGUCAAUGAUAAACUUAAAUUUUCUUUGUUACAUUUAUAAGAUUCUUUGUGGACUCCAAAUACAACUAUUAGCAACCUAUUACAUGGUAUCCUUCAACGUCUUUAAGGUUUAGGUGGCUCUACAUCUCGGAUUAUCUCCACAAGCUAUUUGGUUGAGAUGGUAUGACCAACAAGGUAUCUAUCUCUUGGCUAUCUAUAUCACAUAAAGUAUACAAGACUAAAAGAAUAUAAACAAACUAUAGUUCUAAAUUCAAACUAUUGACUUAUACAAUUUUAAACAUUUGAAAAAAUUGCCUCUUCAGAGGCUGCCUCAUCUCCUUCUCUAUGAGGCCAAGAAUUAAGAAUCUUCAUGGUGAAGCCAUCUUAUUAAGCUAAUGUUUCUCAUUUUGUAGCUUUUGAUUUGGAUGACUGUCGUUGAUAGAACUUUUGAACCUCCAUUUGUGUAUUUACAAGGUUGCCAAUUAAUUUCUAUAUGCAAUCAUUGAUAUCAUAUCCGCACCAAUAGACUAGAUAUUCAAGCCUUCCAUGUCUUAUCCUUGAAUCUAACAUCUCUUCUACCUCAAAUUCAACAUGAUCAUUAAUUUCAACUAUAAGAAGUAGUGGUUGUCUUUGACUUGGUAUGUUUGAUUCUUUAUACUUUUUCAAAAUAAAACAUGAAAGAUAUGAUGAAUCUUCAUGGAUGAAUGUAACUUCAAGCAAUAAGUUACAUCUUUGAUUUAUUUCUGAAUCACAAAUGGUCCCAAGUUUUAGUGGUUCAACUUAUCACAUGGCCUGUUGGUUUUUAUAUUGCAUCAAAGAAGCCACAUUUUGUCACCAACUUAGAACACAAGAUAUUCCUUCCUCAAUUUAUCCGCCACUACCUCAUAACAUUGUAGAGUCCUUUCUAUGUGAGUCUUCAUGGUUGCUUGAAGUUCAGCCAUUUUCAUAGUAAAGUUUUGUGUUGUUAGAUUUGUCGACUUUGAAGGCUCUAUCAUAUCCAACUUUAGAUGAUGAUCAUAGUUUGAGUAUAAUGGCAUUUGUUGCAUAGAUGCAUGGAUUGUCUUAUUAUAUGUAAAGUCCACUGAUGACAAGUAAGAAGUCUAGUUGUCUUGUUGAUAGUUGAUGGUGCACUUCAAAUAUUGCUCAAGAAUUUGAUUGAUCUACUCUGUUUGGCCAUCAAUUUGAAGGUAGAAGGUAAAAGAUAGGUUGAUUUCAACCUUAAGAAUUUCAUAGAGUGCCAUCCAAAACCUUGAUAGAAAUUGUCGCCUAUAAUCUGACCCAAUGUCAUUUGGCUACUUGUGAUAACAAUAGAUAUUAUCAAUAAAGAAUCUUGUCGUCUCUUUACCAAUAAUUGACUUCUUGCAAGGUAUAAAAUGUGCCAUCUUGGUCAAUCAAUCAAUAACUAUGAAGAUAGUAUCAAACGAGCUAGAUAGUAGAAGAUCUCUAAUAAAAUCCAUAGACAUAGAUGACCAUGGUUGUCUUAGAAUAGGAAGGGAUUGAAGAGGUCUAUAUAGCCGGUGUCAAGGAUUGUUUGACCUUGAAUAAAUAUCACAUAAUAAUAUAAAUUUUUUAACGUCCUUCCACAUUUUAGGCCACCAAAAGUCUUUAGAUAGAAGUUCCAAUGUCUUAUUAAAUCCAAAAUAUCUGACUACAGGGAAAUCAUGGCAUAUUUGAAGAAUACACAAGCGAGUUGAUCCUUUAAGAAUGAACAAACGUUCUUUAAAGAACAAGAGAUUGUCUUCAUACUUGAAUUUAGAAGAUUCUUCAGGAAGGUUAUUGGCAAGACGCUUGAUAUUAAAAACAAGUGUUUGAGGCUUUAUGAACUUAAUUAAAAAAUGAUAAAUCCAUAGGUAUUGAUACAUUGGUUGCUCAAAGAUGAAAUUACUCAAGCUAUAAGAAGGUUGUCUAUUGUUGAUCAUAUGUUACCUUGCCUUCUUUUGGUUCAAGAUAGUAAUAUCUUGUUAAUACAUUUGAUAAUCUUUGUUAGCACUCACAUUGAUACAUGAUGCAAAAAUCAAAUUAUGAUAAAGAUAUACUCCAACGCAUUUAGCAACGAUUCAUGACUUGAACUAAUAUGAAGAAUUCAAGAUUUUUGUGAUCAAUGUAGAUAAUGACCUGGUGAGUAGUACCUUCAACAAACUAGUACCAUUUUUGAAAAUAAUCUAUGAUAGCAAGUAGCUCUUUAUGAUGGAUUUUGUAGUUGAUCUUCAUCACUGAGAAUUUUCUAGAAUAGAAUGUAAUUGAGUGAAGUUUGUUAAUUUUUUCAUAUUAUAAUAAGAUUGCUUCAAAUACAAAGUCUAAGGCAUCGGUCUUCAGAAAAUAGGGCUUAUUAAAAUCUAGAUGUAUCAAAGUUCGAGCUAUUGUGAAAAUAUCUUUUAAGCUUUGAAAAGCUUUCUUUGCUUUGAGGCCCCUAUCUAAAUUGUUCUUGUAUGUCAACCACAUAUAUGGAGCAAUGAUCUUGGAGUAAUUCCUAACAAAAAUCCUGUAGAAGUUUGGAAAUCCAAGAAAGUAUUAGACAUCAUAUAUAGUUUUGGACUUUGCCUAAUUGAUGAUUGUCUGUAUCUUCUUUGGAUCCAUAAAAGACCUUUGUUGGAAAUAAUAUAUCCAACAAAUUUGACUUGAGGUGCAUGAAAUAUACAUUUUUUUAGUUUUAUAUGUAGCCCACUACUUUAUGGCUUUUCCAACUUAAGGUGGAUGUAUUUUUUGUGAUCUUUUAGAUUCUUAGAAAAGUUUAGAAUAUCAUCCAAAUAGAUCACAACAAAGUCGUUGAAAUGCUCGCAAAAUAUAUCAUUUAUUAAAUAUUGGAAUAUGAUUGGUGCAUUGCUAAGUCCAAAAGGUAUGACAUUGUAUUCAAAAUGUCUAUACGUGGUGCAAAAUAUUAUCUUCUAUUCAGCUCCUUCUUUAAUGCAUAACAAAUUAUACGUGCCUCGUAGAUCAAUCUUUGUAAAGAUCUUUGCUUGACUAAGUUGAACAAGAAGUUUGGAUAUCAAUAACAAUGGAUAUCAAUUCUUUAUUAUGAUUUUAUGAAAACUGCAAUAAACAACACACAUCCAUAAAGAUCCAACUUUCUUCUUCACAAAUAAUAUUGGAGCAGCAGUUGGUGACUUAGAAUUUUGAAUAAAAUUCUUAGCUAGAUUUUUAUCAAUGUACUCCUUUAAAGUUAUAAGAUCAUUCUAGAAUAAAUUGUAGAUGGAUCUAAAUGGUGGUUGAGCACCUUCUUGAAGGUCAAUUGUACAAUCAUAAGGGUGAUGCUUUGAUAGGAUGUCAGUGUUUUUUUUUUCAAAUACAUUUGUAAAAUUCUUACAUGCCUUUAAAAUUGUUGUAGUAAUAACCACAAGUUUUGAUCAUGGAUUUACGUAGAUAAUAAACAUAGUACCAUAUUUGAUUGCUUUGACAAAUGCUUUAGCUUUAACAAAUAAAUCUUAUUUAAGUUUUGGCUUGUCGGGUAUUAAAAGCUUUUUCAUAGAUCUAAGGAUUUUAUGAUCUACUAGAGGAAAUUCUAACUUUUGUGAUAUCCAAUCUAUCUAUGGAUUGUAUUUUUUAAGCUAUGAGAGUCCUAAAAUAACCAGACUUAAUGAUGAUCUAAUGAUGUUGAAUACUACUUAGUUGCUAUGGUUUUUAAAGAUUAUUUUUAAUAGAAUCAUUUUAUGAGUGACAUCUCCAAAGGAUAAAGGUUGACCAUCUAUUACUUUUACAUAUACAGCUUUGGAUUUUUUGAUCAUAUAGAUUUUGUGUAAUUUAGAAAAUUCUUUGUCAAUAAAACAUGCAAAGGCUUCCAAGUCAAAUAAUGCAUGACAAUCUAGUUUUGUAACUCCUUAUUGUACAAGUAUAGUAAAACAACGAGAAGGACUGGUAGAAAGUAUAGGACCUUUUUUGGUUUGUGGUAGUGAAGAAUCUAACUGCAUGGUCCCUACUAUGGCUACACGUUCUUAUUUUUUUACAAAGCUUUUAAUGAUAUGGCUCCACUCUUCAUUUAAUAUAUACGCUUACAUUUCUUUGAACAAUUAUCAACCUUGUGGCUAGAUUUUCCACAAUAUAAAUAUAGACCAAGUUUCUUUUGAUACUUUUUUUCUUACUUAGAAAGAAGUUUGAAAUGAACUGCAUCAAUCUGCAUAUCUUUUACUUCCAAAUAUUCAUUAGCAUUUGAUAAUAAAGAAACUAUAGAAUAAUUGAUGUAUACGAGUGGCAUAAUUAAAGAAUUUUUAUCUUUUCAUCGUUGAAAUAAAUGGUUAUCAUACUUCACAACUUAAUUAAUGGCUUCAUUGAGUAUUUAAAGAUCUGACAUAGACAACAAUAAGUCCUUGAAAUCAUCUCUUAAUCCCUAAUGAAAUUGGCUCAUGAAUGCAUUUUUUUCCAAUUUAUAUUACAUACUAAUUAUCAAAAAUCUCAAGCAUACAUUGAUAUUGAAUGUGUUCCUUGUCAAAGGCUUUGAAUUUUAGUUGUUGAAGAAUAAACCUUAUCAUAUUCACCAAAUGCUUCUGUAAAUGCUACCAAAAAUACUUCAAAAUUUUGUAAUAUUAGAGAUUUGUUUUCAAAUAAUGGAGGAAAUCAAGAUAAAGCUUGACAAGAGAGCAAGGUUUCUACGAAACCAAUACAAGAUACUUUAGUAGAAUGUCAUUGAGGUUGUAGCAUCAUAAUUAAUCGUACUUAGUUUAUAAAGCUAUAAAAUUUUGAACGAGUUCUAUCAAACUUUUUUGGAAGGCUGAUCCUUGGUUCUUUUGCUAUUAUUGUUAUCAAAUUAUUCUCUUGAAUGGAUGCACCUUCCAUACUUGUUGAAGCUGAUAUAGUCAUUUAAGAAUUUGGAACCUCUAUUGCCAUUUGAUAUAGUGGUUGAGGCUUUCUAGUGUCGUAUUAUAAUUGCUUAUAAUAUAUAAAAAUUACUUAGAACAUAUAUAAUAUGUUCAUAAAUCUUGGUGUAUGUUAGAAUGAUUAAUAGAUUAAUAUAAAGAGAGUGGAUAUAAGAAACUUUAUUUUAAAUUUUAUCUAUUUUAAUUAAUACAUUUAAAAAAUUAUACGACCUAAAUAUUUAGUAUAAAGCCUUGAGAGGAGAUUAGAGCCUAAAGAUGAAAAUCUAAACUAGUAGGAGGCUUAUUGGGAAGAAUGAAAGUAAGGUAUGGUCGAAUGAAGGCAACGAAUGAGGAUCUUCAUUCCUAUUGGUCAAAGGCCAUGUCUAUUGGACUUUAAAGAGGUUGCCUAAGGCCCUAUUAUGGAUUAGGAUUUCUCUUUUGAGGUCAUUUGACCUUUGGAGGCUAGGAUCAGCAAGUUUAGGUUUUUGGAUAGGCAUUAGGUACAAAUUUUGUAUCAUUUGGAGUUUUUAUGAAGGAUUUAUUGGUACUCAAAGUUAAGGUGUCAAUUUCAUAUCUAUUAUCAAAUUGUACAAGAUAUAGCUCAAAACACAACUAUUAGCAAUUUGGAUCACUUACAACUCCUUAGAUUUCAAAUGAUGACUUCUACUUUUAAUAUCUUCUUUCAUCUAACUUAGAAUUCAUCAAGUAAUAUACAUAAAGUAUAGCCAAGAAAGUGCUGUCUUCAAUCCUAGUCACCAAUCCUUAGUCGCUUUCCAUACACAUGCAUUAUAUCCAAAAGAGUGAUAGUAAGUAGAAAAUCAACAUUUCAACUUUGAGCGCCCAUAUCUCUUUCAUAUAAAUUCCAAAUCAAACAAAAUUUAUACCAAAAUUAUAGCAAAAAAUCUAAACUUAUUGACUCUAGCUUUUAAAUCUUAAAUGCCUCCGAAAAACUAACCCUAAUCUCUAAUAUGGCCUGAGGCAGCUUCCUUGAAGUCCAUUGGUUAUGAUUUUUUACCAAUAGGGAUGGAGAUUUUCAUCAUCUUUCUCCAUUCAUCUAUAUAGAUGUCCUAAACUUUCUUUUUGCUACCAAAACCCUUCUCCAAUCUUUUUUUUUAUAAGAUUUACAUAAUAUAUGUCCUAAACACCAAAUAAAGAAAUAAAAUAAGAUUUUAAGGGUCACCAAUAUCUAACAAAGGUGACUCUAAAUAUUUAAAAAUUACUACUAAUAAGAUCAACUUCAAAGUCACUAUGAAAAGAAAAUAAAGUUAUUUAAAUUCUAAUAGAAAUUCUUUUAAAAUAUGUCUUUUUUAUAAUAAAUAAUGGCUGAAGAAGUCCAUAAGAUUGAUGACAAGGAGUUUUGGAUCUUAGACAAAUAUCACAUGAUUGUACAAAGACUUUAACUACCUUCCAUAUUUGAAGCUACUAAAAAUCUCUAGAUAUUAGUUUUAAAAUCUUUUUGUAUCCAAAAUGUCUAACUGCUAGAAAGUCAUGACAAAUUCAAAGAACAUGUUAUCAUACUUUACCUUGUAGAAUGUGUAAUCAUUCCUUCAAGUAGAAUAGAUUAUUUUUAAACAUUAAUUUGGAAGUAUCAUGAGACUUAAAAGAAUUAUUCUUAAUAUCAUGAACAAGAAGAUGAGAAGAUAUACUUGAUUGAAUUUUUUUGACAAAGUUUGAAUCAAAAAUUAAUAUUGAUUUUAUUGAUCAAAGAUGAAAAUCCUCCGACUUUAAAAAAAUUAUUCUUUGGUGAACAAAAGCUGCAUCUCUUUUUUUUGGUGCACGAUAAAAACUUAUAGAAAAGAUAUUUGAUAAACCUUAUUAUUUUUUGGAUCUAUAAUUAUCUUGAAGUAAAAUCUUGAUAAUGAUAUACUCUAAUGGAUUUUGUGAUAGUUCAAAACACAUGCCAAUAUGAAGUACUUGAAGUUCUUGUGUUUCAUAUACACAAUAACAUGAAUAGAAUUGCCUUCUAGAUAAUGAUGCCAUUUUUGAAAUGAAUCCACAAUUGCAAGAAGUUCUUUAUUAUGGAUCUUGUAAUUCAUUUCAAUUGUCCAAAAUUUCUUAAAUAAAAAGCACCAAGGUGGAGCUUAUUAUUUGAUCCCAUUUGUGAUAAAACAACAUCUAUAGCAAAGUCCAAUGCUUUUAUUUUCUUAAAGAAUGCUUUACAAAAAUCAACAAUGUUAUGUAGUGACACAACUAUAUGGUGAAAAAUGAAAAUAUAGAUUUUAUUCUAAAAGAGCCAAGUAGCAAGGUGUUGUAGAAAAAUAAGAAUAAAUGAUAGGAAGAUAAUAAAAAAUUUAAUCUUAAUGCUGUCUUUUAAAGAAGGGGCUUCUAUUUGCUUUGUAGAGGCAUAAAUACCUCAAAUUAAAUAAAAUAUGAUAAGUAAUUAAUACAGACAUAUUUAAAAGAAAAUUAUCAAUGUGUUCAAGUAAAAAAUACUUCAAAUUAUUAAAUAUUGAUACUCAAAGAAAACCAAUUGUCAACUUAGAUUGAAAUCAGAUUCCAAAGCACAAAAAUACAUACCUAUGGCAACUUUGGAAUUCUUUGGUAGAUCAAAGAUUGAGAUUUGAAAGCAAAUAAGCAAAGAUAUUUUUGAACAUUGAUUUUAUAACAAUCAUAGUAAUAUUCAAUUUUUGGAAGAUUUUUAAAAUUAAUAAUAUUUUUGAUUGGACUAGAUUUUAAAAAAUAAAAUUAUGUUCACAAGAUUGAGAAUUUUUUAAGUUUUGUAUUGUAUAUAUGCAUGAAUUUUGGGCAGUGUAUUGAGGUUCUGCUUAUUAGUAUGUAUAAAGAUGAUAUCAAUCAAACAAUUAGAUCAAAGUAUAUGAAGGUAUUUCUAGGUUGAAGUCUCAAAUUAUAGAAUUUGAGAGUCAAUGAUUAUUUUUAAGAUCUUUAGCUAUUUGUUUAUUGUGUUGAAGUGAAUUUUUUUUAUAUAGAAUCUAAACUUGAUUUUUUAUAACUUAAAUAUAUUUUAGAAGUAAUUCAAUGGUUCAAAAAGAAAAUAUAGUAUAAGAAAUUUAACAUUUAGAUUGGAGUAUGAGGCUGUUCAACACUCAAGCAAAAUUUAGAAUUGAUCUUCUAUUUGGUAAGUAUGAUCUUUGUUGUUCUCGUUACAUUCAAGCUUCAGUACACCAAAGCAAUUGAACUAAUAGAGGUAGGUUCGAACAUUGGAAAAGAUUGAUUAUAUAAAUUGGGUCUAUUAGUGUCACAAUUGAUUGUAUUUUGGCUAUCUAAAAUCAAAUAUCAAACUAUAAAACACCAAGGCUUACUACUUCCAUCUUAAUUCAACCCAUAAUCCAUUCUAUGAUUAUCAAUUCAACAAUACUACUCUCAAUCAUAAUUCUUCAUAAGCAAAUAAUAAUAAAAAAAAAGAGGUAGCACGAAGCUUACCUGACUUAUGACUCUCACAGUCUAGCCCUCGGCUUACGACUCUCAAUUUGGCUCUCGAAUUAUGACUCUGAGUCCCGCUCUUGGCUUACAACUCUCAAUCUCAUUCUUGACUUACGACUCUCAAUCUCGCUCUUGGCUUACGACUCUCAUAGUCUAAUUCUUGGCUUACAACUCUCAGUCUCACUCUUGACUUAUGACUCUCAGUCUUGCUCUCGGCUUACGACUCUCACUGUUUGGCUCUCGACUUAUGACUCUCAGUCUGGCUUUGAUCACUCUUUCUUCAACCUAUUUAUGCUACCAAAAAGAUGAUCCGUCGGCCAACGGAUUUCAAAGGUUAUAUCCCUUUGAAUUGUUAACUAUUUAUUCCACUGACAAUCUACUAUUACCAACUAAAUUGCCUAACCAUCAGUCUAAUUUUCAAGGUUGUGAAUAACCAACCAGUAACUUACCACAUAGUUUAUUUAUCUAUUCUAUAUAGCCCCACUCCUAAUUGUGCAGUGUCCUCACAAACAUUAUUUAGCCUCAACUUAUAAAGAUGUAGCAGCAUUGGCUUCUUCAGUCAAUGGCGUUGGCUUAUCACCUUUUGAAUUGGUGACCUUCUCUUCUUUACAUCUUCGUCAUUUGCCUCAGUGUUCAAGGAUUCUCCAUUCAAACGUAUCGUCAAAACAUCAUUCAACAAAUCCAAUUCUCGUACUUGAGACUCACAUCGGGUAAUUUGGUUGAUACAUUCUUCUAACAUCUUCUGCCAUUCUUCUGUCGGUUUCAAAGGUAUCUCCAAAGGUGCUGUCAUUGAAACUAGCAUAUUGGUCUGAACUAAAUUAUUGGCCUCCUUUGCUAAUGCGGCUAGUUUAAUCUGUAACAUCGCAACCUCUACUUGUAGCCAUUCUUGCCGUUCCUUCCAAUCGGUCUCCAUCCUUACUUUCUCACACACCAUGUUUGCCGUCUUCUCCUUAACUAUAAAAGAAAAUAUAAUGCUUUUUAGGAGCCCCCUUUCUACUUCUUACUAUUGUCCAAUCAAUUGGGUCGACUCUCCCUUUUGUAACGAAAAAUCCAUCCUAGAUUUAUAUAUAAUAAAAUUUAUGCCGAUUACCAUUGAUUUGUGUUGUAAAUUUAGUACUCAUAAAAUCUUCCAAUUGUACUGAAUUAUUUGAAAAUUUGUCAAUAACUCAAUAUGGCCCAUGCCAUCAAACUUCAAAUUUUUUUGGAAAAUUUUUAAAUUGACUAUCAUAAAGAAGUACCAAAUCAUUUGGCAUAAAAGCCUUUGGUCUAAACUUACUAUCAUAAUAAGUCUUCCUUCAUUUUUGUGUAGUUUCUAUUAUCAUUAAUGCAUUGGCUCUAAUUUCAUCUAAUUUUUCUAUUUCUUCUAAACGGUACCGUAAUGAAUCCUAAUCUCCCAAUCUAUGAUCUAUAACAAUUCGUAAACUUUGGACUUCCAAUUCAAUAGGUAAUAUUGCUUCUUGGCCAUAAACCAAUUGGAAAGGGAUAACAUUGGUAGUAACUUUAUACGCAAUAUGAUAUGCCUAUAAAGCUGCAAACAACUUAAUGUCCCAAUCUGUUCCUGCUCUUGAAACUAUUUUUUGUUAAGAUUUUAUAUAAAAUUCCAUUAGUCUUUUCUAUUUGUCUAUUGGCUCUAGGAUGAUACGGUGUAGUCUUCCAAUAUUUUAUCUCAUAUUAAGCCAUAAGUGCUUCGAUUGUAUUAUUUAUAAAAUGAGUCUGUCGAUCAUUAACCAAUUCUCGUGGACAACCAAACCUUAUAAUAAUAUUUUUAUACAAAAAGGUUGCUACUGUAUUUGCACUAUCGAUUUUCGUAGCUAUGGCUUUAGUCCAUUUUGUUACGUAAUCCGUUGCUACUAGUAUAUACCAUUUUUGUCCAUUUCUUGAAGCUGGUACAAUUAGUCCUACAAAAUCAAUUCUCCAUUUUUCAAAAGGUGCUUGAGCCAAAAUUGGUACCAAUGGCAUUGUUGAAGUUCCAGUAGGUCGACCUGUUCUUUGACAUGGGUUACAAUGAUAGACAAAUUGGUAGGCAUCUGCAAACAUUUUUGGCCACCAAUAACCAGUUUGUAAGGCUUUAUGAGCCGUGCUAUCCUCCGUAAAAUAUCCACCACAACUAUCCAAGUAACAACCUUCUAAUAUAAUACGUACUUUGGUUUGAUAAUUAUAGCAUCGCAAAACUCCAUCCUUGCCUUGUUUAUAUAAAGCUUCACAAAUCAUCGUAUAAGGUGCAUAUUUUAAUAUUAAGCGUCGUUUAAGCUUUUCAUUAAAAUUAGGUGGAAAGAUUUGAAAUGUUAAGUAUUGAAUUAUUUCACUAUACUUCGGAGUAAUUACAUCUAUCGCAAACAGUUCUACAUUGAGUAGUGUAUCGUUAAUGGGUUCAUUACCCAAUAUAUUGGAUAACCGAGAUAAAUGGUCCGCAUUGGAAUGUGAUUUUUUUGAUCUUAUCUGAAUAGUAAAGACAAAUUCCUACAAGAGUAGAAUCCAUCAUGCAAUAUGACUACUUAAUUGAGGCUUAUUAAUCAUAUAUUUUAAAGCAUUAUGGUCAAAAUGGAAAACAAAUUUAAAAUCAAGAAGAUAAUAUCAAAACUUUUGUAUGGAAUAAAUCAUUCCCAAUGCUUCUCUUUCGAUUGUUGUAUAAUUUCUUUUAGCUACUACCAAUUGACGACUUGCAUAAUAAAUAGGGUGAUCAAAACCUCGGUCAUCUUUUUGACUUAGCAUAGAACCAAUCGCGAUAUUAGAUGCAUCCAUAUAAACUUGGAAUGGAUUUUUCCAAUAAGGUGCCACCAAUAUUGGUGCUGAAAUCAAUUUCUGUUUCAAUGUUUCGAAUGCAAUUGUACAUUCCUUUGUCCAAAAUAGACUGGUCCCAUUGGUUGGUGGUUUUUUCAAGAGAUUUGUGAAGGAAAGGCAUAUAACUGCAAAUAGAUAGAUAAAUCGCUGAUAAUAACUGACAUGGCUGAUAAAUGCUUGAAUACCUGUAACAAUGUCUGGUUACUUUAAUUCUACUAUAAUCUUUAUUUUAUUCAGAUCUGUAGUAAAGCGUGCCAUCAAAACUAUAUGACCCAACAGUUUACUAGAAGGCACACCAAAUUGAUAUUUUUUUGAAUUUAAAGAAAUUUCAUAUUUGGCACAUUGAUUCAAAUAUUGACCUAGAUAUUUUAAAUGCCUUGCUCUCGUACUAAAUGUACAGAAAUCAUCUAGAAAUAUUUCCAUUGAAAUUUGUAGAUAAUCUUGGAAUGAUUGCGUCAUUACUCUUUGAAAUGUAACUGGUGCAUUACAAAGCCCAAACGGCAUAACCUUAUAGACAAAGGUCCUCUAAUCUGUAGUAAAAGUAGUUUUUAACUGGUCUUCUUUUGUAAUCUUAACUUAAUUAUAACCAGUGAAUCCAUCAAAUAAUGAAUAACAUUCAUGACCAACAACAACAUCCAAUAUACUAUCCGUGAACGGUAAAGGAAAAUAGUCCUUCUUGGUAGCCGCAUUUAAUUUUUGGAAAUCUUGACAGAUGUGAACUUUUCCAUUCUUUCUCAACACCAUAAUAAUUGAUGAAAUCCAUUCAUUCAAAGGAACUGGAUAGAUAAAUCCAACCUCGAAGAGUUUAUCCAGUUCUUCUUUUACCAUAAGUGAGUAUUUUCGAUUAAGUCAAUGUUGUCUUUGAUAUACUGAUGUAGCGUUCUCCUCCUAUAUAAUUUGAUGCUCACAAACUUCACCUGGAAUUCCUUUCAAAUCCACAUAUGAUCAUGUGAAAGAAAUUUUACGCAUUAAAAAGUAAUCUACCUAAAUUUCUUUCUCCUUGCCUUUUAUACUAUCGUAAAUCUGAAUGAUUUGGAGAGCCUCCCUUACACCUAAAUUAAUUGGUUGACAUCAUGGAAUUUCAAGAAUCUAUGGACUGAUGUUCUAUUCAAUCCCAAAAUCUUUCAUAAAAUUUGACACAUUAGAACUUUUUAACUCCAGUUCCAUAGCACUAACAUGAUUAACAUCCUGUCUAUUCAUUCAAUAUGCAAUUAUAUGAUCAGAAUCUUCAAUAACAUGUAGAGGAACUAAGUACUCUCUCGGUCCCUUGCACUGGUAGUUUAUUCUAGUAUGCUCGACAACUUGCCUUGUAUCAAUAUAAAUUGGAAUAGGUGUACCAAUUUCUACUUCUAUAGACUCAUCUCCAGAAUCCGACGUGAAUUUUGAACUGGCAACUUGAGUUUCUCUGUGAUAUUGGACAUGGUAUAUUUGAAGCACAAUUUUAUCAUUAUCUUUCUCAAUUGUCAAUGUAUCAUGGUCUCAAUCAUUUCGAGCUUUAGCUUGAUAUAAUCAUGGUCACCUCAAUAAAAUUGAGUAUGGCAAUAUAGGACUUCACAAUCGAAAAAUAAUAUAAUCAAUUUUAUAGGUAAUUCCCAUAAUUACUAUAUUAAUGCUUUAUAAAAUAUCCAUAGGUUUAACUCGGCUAGAGUCAACCAUUCUCAAAACUACUGUAGUAGGCAAUAAGUGAUCCAAAUCCAACUCCUCCAUUGUAGCGACAUUCAUAAGAUUUACACUAGAUCCUCCGUCUACUUGGACUUUCGAUAGUAACACUCCAUCAAUUAAGACAUCAAUCAUUAGUGCAUCUGGAUCGGGAUUCAAACUUAUUUCUUGAAUUUCUCUAUUUCGAGAUUUGUGAUAAAUUAAUGAAGAAUUCAAGAUAGUUCGACACUUAGGUGCUACUGCCAAUAGUUACUUCAUAGAGAUCGUGGGUUGUAUUGUGCCCAAAUCUUUUAGAAUAUCAUAUGGUUUUGUAUUAGUAGUAAUUCUCAAUGUCCGAUUCUUCUUCCCAGUCUUAGACAUCGACAUAAGUAAAUUGGUUUUCUUUAUAUUGGAAAUUGAUAAAGCUACUAGAAUUGAAUUUGACGGAGCUUGUAAAAUUAUUUCUUUCAAUGGGUAAGAUUGUUCUCAUAAUUGGACUGAUAUUAGUUCUUUAGAAUUUACGCCUCUUAGAAGAUCUUUCAACAAAAAGGACGUUUCUCGAAAUUGUGUAGAAAAUGGAACUGCUCGAUACGAAAUUAAAGCCUCCGUACUUGGUACUUCAUUAGGAUGCACAACCGAUUCAGGUCUUAUACUGAAUAAGGGACCUAUGUUAGAACCUAAAUUGAAUGGCCCCAUAAUUGGAUCCAAUUGGCUCUUUGCUUCAAGAUCACCCAAAUGUUGAAUUGGUCCUUUCCUCUUUUGCUGACUUCUUGUACAGAUAGCUUGGACUACUUCUAUCCGAUGAACUAGUAAAUGUUGAUGAUCUUGAUUUAUCUCUUCUAUUUUUUCUUGGCUUUGGAUCUAUUGAUCUUGAUUAUUGAAAUUGAACGGAGCAUUAUAUUGUUGAUAAGUAUAUUCCGACUGCUUGUAAUUCAUACAUACUGGUGCAUAAUUGUCACUAGCUCUAGGAUUGGGAUAUUCACUGGCAUAAUGAGCAAUCUAUCUAUAAUAGAAACAACAAAGUCGUCUUCUUGUACCUUCAUUUGACAUAUUGGGUGUCUCCAUCAGUAUAUACGUACUUAGCUUGUUCCAUGUAGGAUUAGAAAAUGAUCUUGAUUGCCCCGUUUGUACGGAGGAUACUUAAUUCGAUGAUGCAGGUAGAGCAUAUUGCUGAUACCUGCUGCUCCUUCUCGUUGUUCUGAAGGUUUGAUGCAGACCCCUGAUUAAAAUUAGAACUUUGAAAAUUAUUGAAUGUUCGAUUUUGUCGAUUAGAUCAAUUUCCAUUCCAUCCAUACAUAUUUUUCAUUUGAACUUGAUUGACUUUCUACUGAGUCGAUGGGAUCAUGGUCUGAUUAUUGAAUUGUUAUUGCCUUUGUAAAUGCUAGGAGUUUUGGGUCUGGUACUUUCCUCCGCAAAAUGUACAUUGAAUACCCGUUUGUCUAAGUGAUGGACAUUCCGUAUCAAAAUGACCUUGUUCCUUACAAUUAUUACACUAUACAUUAGAUCCCAUAUUAGAAGGCUUAUGUCAUUUCUCCUUAUCUUUAGCCAAAUUCACGGCCAAUUCUUCCAUCUUCUUUCUUAGAUUUAAUAGUAAGACUUCAUUUGGAUCUUUAACAGUCGCAUUUAUAAACAACUCCGAUUGUUGAUAGGUUGGUGAUGUAAAAUAAGGUGUCAUCAUUAUUGGCACUAUUGCUUGGAAUGGUGUAGCAUUAAUUGCUUGUUGCAACAUAACAUUCUUCACAUUGGAGGCAGCCAUUUGUGGAUAAUUAUCCAUCGACAUAUUUCUCAAUUGUAUUUGUUGGCUUCUUGAACUUGGAAUCAUCGUGGCUCCCAUUGUUAACAAUUGGUCAUAAUGACAUUCUUCCUAUACCUUUACUCGUGCCAACGAUGCCUCUAUCGUAGCUGAUCGAGUUUUUUUUACAAAUAUUUUUAAUUUUAGUGGAUGCAAACCAUUAAUUAAUAUCGACAAUAUAAUCGCAAGUGGCAUUUGAUUAUUUGACCAUUUACGAAGUAUAUCUCUGAUCCAGCCAUAAUAGAACUCUACGAAUUCCUCCGCAAACAUCCUGCUAUUCAUAAAACUUUCUCGAAGCCGAUCUUCAAAUCCAAUUGGUCUAGAAUGGGUUAGGAAGGCAUUCCUCAAGGCCUCCCAAUUGAGAAAUCUAUCCAUUGGUUGUUGUUUAUACCAUUCAAAAGUUAUAUCUUUUAAAGUUGUUAGCAACCAUCUCAAUCAAAUGUCUUUAGUUCUAUCAUUAUUAGCCACGUAGGCUGUUAAGAAUUGAGAUAUAUGGUGAUCGGGAUCAGAGCCUAGCUAACCACUAAAAGUAGGUAAUGGUACCACACUUAUAGUUUGGUCUCCUACUACUCCCAUUUAUACUGUAAUUGGUACUUCUGGCACUCCCGCGGCCAUUGGUGUUAUCAUUGGUCUCCUUACUAUUUGAAUCUGAAUUUUUCUUCUUUUGAUUUUUUUUAGACGUAUAAUUUUCAUAGGAUAUUUUUUAUGUGUAAUCGCUUCUAUCUUUCUUUUGCUUAUCGAUUAAUUCUUUGAUAAUCUUCCCUCCCGUGAUUAUCACUCAUAAAUUUUCAUUCUUCUUUACAAAAUCAAUACUGUCUUAAAUUAUAACUCACAUAUUUGUAACCCUAAAACUGAUUCUUCUCAUGUUCUCAUUCAACAUAUAAUUCCAUCUCCCAUACAAUCAAUUUCUAACAUUUCAUAUUGUUAUCAUUUCUCCGGCAGCGGUGCCAAAAUAUUGUUCUCCUUGUGCUCAAGCUUCAGUAGACCAAAGCAAUUGAACUAAUAGAGGUGGGUUCGAAUAUGGGGAGAGACUGGUUAUAUGAAUUGAGUCUGUUAGUGUCACAAUUGACUGUAUUCAGGCUAUCUGAAAUCAAGUAUCAAACUACAAAACACCAAGGCUUACUACUUCCAUCUUAAUUCAAUCCAUAAUCCAUUCUAUGAUUAUCAAUUCAACAAUACUACUCUCAAUCACAAUUCUUCAUAAGCAAAUAAUAAAAAAAACAAAGAGGUAGCACCAAACUUACCCUGGCUUACGACUCUCACAGUCUGGCCCUUGGCUUAUGACUCUCAAUUUGGCUUUCGACUUAUGACUCUUAAUUUUGCUCUCAGCUUACGACUCUGAGUCUUGCUCUCGACUUAUGACUCUCACAAUCUGGCUCUCGACUUAUGACUCUCAGUCUGACUCUUGACUUAUGAUUUUUAGUCUCGCUCUCGGCUUACGACUCUGAGUCUUACUCCCAACUUACGACUCUCACAGUCUGGUUCUCGGCUUACGACUCUCAGUCUCGCUCUCUGCUUACGACUCUCACAGUUUGACUCUCGACUUACGACUCUCAGUCUGGCUCUAAUUGCUCUUUCCUCAACCUAUUUAUGCUACCAAAAAGAUUAUCCGUCGACCAACGAAUUCCAAAGGUUAUAUCCCUUUGAAUUCUUAACCAUUUAUUCCACUAACAACCUACUAUUACCAACUAAACUGCCUAACCAUCAGUCUAAUUCUUAAGGUUGUCAAUAAUAAACCAAUAACUUAUCACAAAGUUUAUUUACCUAUUCUACAAUCUUUUUCAAUUUUUUUGUACUUUUUGCCAAUUUAGUUUUUGAAAAGUAUGUAAAAUCCUAAAUAAGAUCAAUGGUAUAAUUGAUAGAUAUUAAGGUUCUAAUCUAUUCUAGGAUUAAAUAAAUUUGAAUAGGAUUUAAUUUAGAAUUUAAAAUUUAGUUAGGAUUUAAGAUUUGUUUAGAAUUUAGUUAGAAUUUGAGUUAGGAUUUAUGUAAAGACUAUUAGAAUUUUAACUAGAAUUAAAAAAAGAUUUUAUUGGAAUUUAUUUAAGUUAUAUUUUAGAUUUUAUUUUAAUAUUUUCUUUGAAUUUCUUUAGAAUUUCUUUAUACUUCUUUUGUAAUUUUUUUGAGAUUUUUUUGGAUUGAUCAAAGAUAGAUUAGCAUUGUUAAGAUUUAAUUGUAGUUAUUUAGGAUUCUAUUAAAAUUAGAAUCUUAUUGCUCCAAUGUUUCUUCCAUCUUCUAUAACUAAGUGCUUGAUGCAUUUUCAAUCAAGACUUCUUGUUGUGCAACAAUGCAACACAAAAUUAGUCUACAAAUAUAUGUUAUCUUCAAGGCUUCAAAAGAUUUUUUUGCUUCUUUGCUCUACUUAAGUUUUUCUUUAAAUAUCAAAUUUAUAAGAUAAGUUGUAUCUUUAGAAAAAUUCUUUGUGAAGAUUUGAUAAUAAUUAGUAAAUCUCAAAAAAAAAAUUAUACAGCUUUUAUUGUUUUUGAGACCUUCCAAUCUAUGAUACUUAGGAUCUUCUUAGGAACCAUCAUUAAUUUUUUUUUGAAAAUGAUAUACCUUAAAAAAUCAACUUGCGUAAUAUAGAAUACAUACUUUUUUAUCUUUUUAUAUAUCUUAUAUUUCUAAAUUUAUUUAAUACACAACAAAUAUAAAAUUUAUAUUCUUCUAUAUUCUUAAUGUAGAUUAUAAUGAUGUCUAUAUAAUAGAUAAAAAAAAUUAAUCAAGAAAUUCACAAAAGACAUCAUUCAUGAAUUGUUAAAAGCAAGUGGUGGAUUUGUGAAUCAAAUGGUAUGAUAUUAUAUUUGAAAUGUCCAUACCUAAUUUAAAAAACAAUCUUCUAUUCAUCUACUUCUUUAGUGUAGACCAUGUUGUAUGCUUCUUAUAGAUCUAUUUUUAUAUAGAUCUUUGUUUGAUUAAGUUGAUCAAAAAGUCCUAAAAUCAAAGAUAGAAGAGACCUAUUAUUGAUGGUGAUCUUAUUAAGUCCUUGAUAGUCUAUGCACAUUCAUAUAAAUCCAUAUUUUUUCUUCACAAAUAAGAUAGUAGCUCCUAUUGGAGAUUUUGAAUGGCAUAUAAAGUUUUUAGCCAAAUUCUUGUCAAUAUAUUCUUUUAGUGCAUCCAAUUUAUUUUCUAAUAAGCAAUAGAUUGAUGUCAAUGGUAGUUGAGCUUAUUCUUGUAGAUCAAUUGAAAAAUCAUGGGAUCAUUGCUCUAGAAUAAUAUUUGUAUUUUUCUUUUUAUAAAUAUUUUGGAAAACUUAAUAUUCAUUGAGAAUAUCACUUGAUGUCUUUCUACCCUCAAAAAUAGAUGUGGCAUAUAUAGUAACAAAUGACCCUUCUUUUGUCACAUGCAUGAGAAUUCUUGCAUCUAUUAAUAAAGAUUUAAAUAUACUAGACUUAUCUAUUUCUAUUUCAAUGUUAAAAUAUUAGAUUAAACUAUAAGAAAAAUUAAGAUUAUAAACAAUCUAAUAUAUUUGAAAGUUAUAUUUUUUUUAACCAUGAUAAUCCUAAAAAAAAUUAAUUGAAAGAAGAUUUUAUUACAUUGAAUAUUAUUAUACUAUUAUGAGCUUUAAUUGCUAUAUCUAAAGGAAUAGUCUCAUGACUAAAAUCUCCAAAAGACAACAAAUGACCAUCUAUGACUUCUACAUGUACAAGUUUAAUUUUCUUGACUAAAGAUAUUUCUUAUUUUUUGAAAAAAUCUUUAUUUAUAAAACAUGCUAAGACUCUUGAAUCUAAUAAUAUAAAGACUUUAUGAUUUUUAGGUCCUAAUUCACAUCUAUUGUAAAACAAGAUAAGAGAUCUGAGGAGAGAAUAGGACAUUUACUAGGUAUUGCACAUGAUUCUAGCCAUAUGAUUCCUAUAGUAGUUAGAAAAACUAGUUUUCUAACACAUUAUCUUCUUUAGCAAUUGUACUCCUCAUUUUGUGAUUGUGUUGUUCUUUUCAAUAAUAUUGAAUAGUAUCUUUAGUUUUUCUAUAAUAUAAAUAUAAAUCUUCUUAAUGACAUUGAAUCUUUUCUUGCUCAACGAGGAAUUUAAAAUGUACCACAUCAAUUUGCAUCAAUUAUGGCCUUGAUAAAUAAGUUUCUAAAAACUUGGGAGCUAUUAUUAUUACUUGGCUUAUUCUUUUGGAAUCAAGUCUUAUUUCUUAAUUACUUUUAAAUAAUCAAUUAUAAUAUGCAAUAGCUUGAGCAAUAAAUUAUUCAAAAGAUUCUACUUUUUUCAUUAUCAAUAAUAAAGCUUUGACAUUAUCUUCCAAUCUAUAUUGAAAUUGAUUGAUGAUUUCUUUGUCAUUCCUAUAUCAAUAGCAAGUGAGGUUUUGAUAUUGAGUUGUAAUAGACAUACAACUAAAGAAGGUUCCAAAAGAUUCUAAAAGAUUUUAGUAGGAUCUAAGAAGGCUCCAAAAGAUUCUAAGUGGUUCUAGAAGGUUUCUAAAAGAUUUCAGAAGGUUUUAGAAGGUACCAGUGGAUUCUAAGAAGAUUUCAAAUGGUUCCAAUAGAUUCUAAGAAAGUUCUAAAAGGUCAUAGGAAGAUUUUAGGAGGCUUUGGAUGAUUUAGGAAGUUGUUGAAGAAGGAUCUUAGGCUUGCUUUGUUUCCAAGUUUUAUUAAAACUUCUGAAGAAGCUUCUUAGGAUCUAAUAUAUAUAGGAAUUGAGGGUGAGGAGAUCCUUGGUCUCAAAAACUCACUUCUUAUAGUCUAGGCAAGACCUUCUUGUCUUAUAUCUAGUUAUUGUUCUAAUGUUGAAUUAAAUCUAUUUCUUAAUCUUGGAUCCUUAUCUUGUAUAUGGUCCCUAAGAGUUUGUCGAAAUUGCUAUAAAAUAAUAUUAAGAGCUUAGUCUUUCUUAAUAGAAAGUGGAUUACCCUUCUUCUUGGAAGUACUAUAGCAUUCUAAAGGUUGCAAAUUACCCUCUCUUAAACUAAUAUUAUUCUUUUUUUAAUAUUCUUUUGGUUUUUUUUCUUUAUAUCAUAGAUUAGGUUUUUUUCUUUUGAAGGCGUGUAUUUCUUUGAUUUUUUAUGGCAAAAGAUAGAAAUAUCAAUAUCACAAACUUAAAAGAGAUUUAAUUAGAUUCUACUAUUAAUACUCUUAAAGCAUUGAAGAUGAGAACAGAGACUUUAUCAAAGUAGAAUGAAGAAUUAUAUAUGACCAUAUAUAAUAGUUAAGGAGCCAAACUACCUCCACUACUAUAUCAACUUCCAACAUAGGUUCCAAAUUUUCAAACGAUUAUGUCUACUUCAAACAUGGAAGGUGCAUCCACUUAAAGCAAUGAUCUGAUAAUAAUAACAACAAAAGAACCAAAGAUCAGCCUUUUGAAAAAUUUUGAUGGCACCCACUCAAAAUUUCAUAGCUUUGUAAACCAAGUAUGACUAAUCACCUUGCUUCAACCUCAAUGAUAUUCCACUAAAGCAUCUCAUGUUGGAUUCGUUGGAAACUUACUUUCAGAUCAAGCUUUAACUUAGUUUGUCGUAUUAUUUGAAAAGAAUUCUCUAAUAUUACAUAAUUUUGAAGCAUUUUUGGCAGCAUUUGGUGAACAUGAUAAGGUUUAUUUUUCAACAACUAAAGUUCAAAGCCUUCGAAAAGAAACAUGCUCUACAUGAAUAUAUGCCUUAGAUUUUUGACAAAUACCAUGUAAUAUAAAUUGGAGAGAAAAUGCAUUGAUGAGCCAAUUUCAUUAGGAAUUAAGAGAUGAUGUCAAGGACUUAUUAUUAUCUAUGCCAAAUCCUCUAACACUCAAUGAAGCCAUUACUCAAGCUAUGAAGUGUAAUAAUCGUUUAUUUUAAUGACAACAAAAUAAACUUUCUUCAAUUAUGCCACAUAUAUACACCAAUUAUUCUGCAGCUUCUUCACCAUGCAAUUCUAAUGAACAAUUAAAAACAAAUGAUAUGUAGAUUGAUGCAGUUCGUUUCAAACCUCUUUCUAAGUAAGAAAAAAAAUGUCAAAGAAAACUUGGCCUAUAUUUAUGUUAAGAAGAAACUUAGCAAUAAGAUUAAUAAUUAUUCAAAGAAAUAUUAAUGUAUAUAUUGAAUGAAGAGUAUUGCCACAUCAUCAAAAGCAUUGCAUGAAAAUGAGGGCAUCCAAUCACAAUAGGAACCAUGCCAUUGGAUUCUUUACUAUUAUAAACCAAAAAGAUCUUAUACUCUCUACAAGCCCUUUUCAUUGUUUUAUUAUACUUAUAUGGCUAAGAAUCACAAAACUAGAUUGUCAUACAUUACUUGAUUCGGGAGCCUCUGCAUAUUUUAUUGACAAAGAAUUUUCUAAAUCACACAAAAUCUAUAUAGUCAAAAAAUCCAAAGCCAUAUAUGUAGAAGUAAUAGAUGGUCAAUCUUUAUCCUUUGGAGACGUCAUUCAUGAGAUGAUUCCAUUAGAAAUAACCUUUGAGAACCAUAGCAGCUAAGUAGUAUUCAACGUCAUUAGAUCACUAUUAAGUCUAGUCAUUUUAAGACUCUCAUGGCUUGAAAAAUACUAUCCACAGAUAGAUUGGGUAUCAUAAAAGUUAACAUUUCUUCUAGUAGAUCAUAGAAUCCCUAGAUCUAUAAAAAAGCUUCUAAUACUUGACAAGCCAAAAUUUAAAUAAUAUUUACUUAUUAAAGCUAAAGUAUUUGUAAAGAUAGCUGUGAUUGCUCGUUUUACUUAUUCCAAAUUCAUCUAAUGGGAAUAAAUCCAUAUAGGGAGAUUCGAACACGAAGAAUGACUAGUUGCUUAAGCGUUCACGUUAGGAUCACAAUCAAUUACCUCCUGAAUGUAUCGUCUCUAUUUCCAAUAUCUGAAUACACAAGGAAACUAUAAUCUCUUCCUUCACCUUAUUGGUCUCUUCCUUAUAGCAAUUUAGUCAUAUCAAUAACUACUAUUUCCACCAAUAUAUUCACCCUCAUAAUCUUCAACUGUAAUACUGCGCCCUCACAACUUUCAGUACACAAUUACCCUCAUUCCAAUCACUAGAAUUCUUCACACAAAACUGCCAUUCACAUUACGGUGUUUCACACAAACACAGACUCAUUCUCUCUAUUGAACUACAAUCAGAUUUCAGCAUUCAAUCUUUCUUCUUCUCAAAUAAUACCAAUCACAUUUCCAUUCCAUAAUUCACUUCACAAUAUUCAAAAACUCUCAAUCCUCUUAUUCAAAGAAAAUAACAAACAAAAGAAAAGAAGUAGCACCAAGCUUACCCCGGCUCAGAACUAUCAUAGCGAUGGCACCUUAAUUAACUCCUACAAUUCUUAUAUAUUUUCUCCUGAUUCUCUAGAUUCUAACCAUAAUUCUGUAAUUAACCACUUUUAAGAAUUAAAUCACUCAUCCGUCCUCUUGAAUUUCCUAUUAUAUGAACUAUUAAUAUAUUUUACUAAUAUCUUUUAAAAACGAAUUAACAUCUAUUCUACAAUAACCAAACAAGGUACUACAUUUGCUAUCUAUGCAAAUCUACAAUCGAAACCUGUGGUUGCUACAACAAUAAUUCUAAAAGUGUAUAAAGAUUUUAUAAAUGUAUUUGAAAAAAAAAAAUACAAAUAUCAUACCAAAGCAUCAUCCUUAUGAUUGUGCAAUUGACCUUCAAGAAGGUGCUCAACCAUCAUUUGGAUCCAUCUACAAUUUAUGCCAAAAUAAGCUUGCAACUUUAAAAGAGUACAUUGAGAAAAAUCUAGCUAAGAAUUUUAUUUGACAUUCCAAGUCACCAACUGGUGCUCCAAUAUAAUUUGUGAAGAAGAAAGAUGGAUCCUUACAAAUAUGUGUUGAUUAUCACAAUCUUAACAAAAUCAUGGUAAAGAAUUGAUAUCAAUUGCCAUUAAUAUCUGGACUUCUUGAUUAACUUAGCAAAGCAAAGAUCUUUGCAAAAAUUGAUCUAUGAAGUGCAUAUAACUUGUUCCGCAUUCAGGAGGAAAAUGAAUGGAAGACAACAUUUUGCACAAGGUAUAGGCAUUUUGAAUACAAUGUCAUGUCUUUUGGAUUUGUCAGUACUCCAGCCAUAUUUCAACACUUAAUAAAUGACACAUUUUGUGAAUGUCUUCAUGACUUUAAUGUGAUCUAUUUAAAUAAUAUUUUCAUCUUUUUCAAGAAUCUAAAAGACCACAAAAAAUAUGUCUGUCUUGUGCUGAAAAAAUUACAAAGUGCUAGGCUAUAUAUAAAAUUGAAGAAGUAUAUAUUUCAUGUACUUCAAGUCAAAUUUGUUGGAUAUAUUAUUUCUAACAAAAGCCUUUUUAUGGAUCCAAAGAAGAUACAAGCAAUCAUCAAUUAGGCAAAGCCAAAAAUAAUACGUGAUGUCUAAUGCCUUCUUAGAUUUGCAAACUUCUACAUGAUUUUUAUUAAGAAUUCUUCUAAGAUUUCUACUCCAUUUAUGCAAUUGACAUGUAAGAAAAAAUUAGAUUGGGGCCUUGAAAUAGAAAAGCUUUUCAAAGCUUAAAAGAUAUUUUUACAACAACUCCAAUUUUGAUACAUCCAGAUUUUAACAAGCCCUAUUUUAUGGAGACUAAUGCCUCAAACUUUACAUUUAGAGCAAUUUUGUCAUAAUAUGGAAAAGAUAGCAAAUUUCAUCUAAUUACAUUCCAUUUUAGAAAAUUCUCAGUCAUAGAAAUUAACUACAAAAUCCAUGAUAAAGAGCUACUUACUAUCCUAGAUUCUUUCCAAGAAUGGUGCCACUUUCAUGAAGGUGCCUCUCAUCAGAUGAUUGUAUAUACAGAUCAAAAGAAUCUUAAAUACUUCAUGUUAAUUUGAGUAUUGAACCGUAGCCAAGCAUGUUGAAGUAUAUCUUUAUUAUGAUUUGACUUUUACAUCACAUAUUGACCCGAGAGCCAACAAAGAUUAUCAGAUGCAUUAUUAAGACGUUUUUAUUUUAAUCCGAAAGAAGGUGAGGCAGUAUAUGAUCAAUAAUGGACAAUCUUCUUAUAGAUUGAGCAAUUUCAUCUUUGAGCAACCAAUGUAUCACUGCCUAUGGAUUUAUUAUUUCUUGAUCAAGUUCAUAAAGCCUCAAAUACAGACCCUCUUAUUCUUAAUAUCAAGCAAUUUACCAACAACUUGAUUGAAGAGUCUUUUAAAUUCAAGUAUGAAGACAACCUCUUGUUCUUCAAAGAAUGUUUAUUCAUUCCUAAAGGACCAACUCGCUUGUACGUUCUUCAAACAUACCAUGACUUUUCUGCAACCAGAGAUUUUAGAUUCAAUAAGACCUUGAAACUUCUAUCUAGAGACUUUUGGUGGCCUAAAAUAUAGAAGGAUGUUAAAAAUUUUAUAUUAUCAUAUAAUACUUGUUCAAGGUCAAAGAAUCCUUGACAUUGGCCAUAUAAACUUCUUCAAUCCUUUCCUAAUCCAAGACAACUAUGGUCAUGUAUUUCUAUGGAUUUCAUUACAGAUCUUCUACCAUCAAACUCAUUUGACACUAUCUUUAUAGUUAUUGAUUGAUUGACCAAGAUAGCAUAUUUUAUACCUUGCAAAAAGUCUAUUACUAGUGGAGAGAUGACAAAACUCUUUAUUGACAAUAUCUACCAUCACCAUGAGUUGCCAAACAACAUUGUAUCAAAUUAAGAAUCACAAUUUGUAUCAAGGUUUUGGAUGGCACUCUUCAAGAUUUUUAAGAUUGACAUCAAUCUUUUCUUUGCCUUCCACCAUCAAAUUGAUGGCCAAACAAAGCAGAUCAAUCAAAUUUUUGAGCAAUAUUUGAGGUGCACCAUUAACUAUCAACAAGAUGAAUGAACAUCCUAUUUCUUGUUGGCAAAAUUUUUAUAUAACAAUACAAUCCAUGCAUCUACAUAGCAAAUGCCAUUCUACUUAAACUACGAUGUCAUACUCUAAAUGCUUAUAAUAUAUAAAAAUUAGUUAAAACAUAUUAUAUAUUAUUAAAUCUAGAUGUGUGUUAGAGUAGCUAGUAGAUUAAAUUAAAAAGAGUUGGUAUAAAAAACUUUACUUUUUUUUUUUACUUGUUUUGACUUUGACAUUAAAAAAAAAUAUAGGAUCUAAAUGUUUAGUAGGCUUGGAAGAAGGCUGAAGCCUAAGGAUGAAAAUCUAAACAAAUAGGAGGCUAAUUGGAAGGGAUGAAAGUAAGGCAUGAUCGGAUGAAGGCAAGGAAUGGAGAACUUCAUCCCCAUUGGUCGAAUACCAUGCCCAAUGGGCUUUGAAGAGGCUAUCCGUGACCUAAACAAGAGUUUCGGCGACUUCAAAGAGAGCUUUCGGAGAUUACAAGCUAGAAUUAAAAAAUUUAGGAUUUGGAGUACAAUUUUUGUAUAAAAAUUAGAAAAUUUGGAGUUAGAGUGAAGAAGGUAUAGCCAUUUGAAGUUAAGGUGUUAAUUUAAGAUAUAUUGUUACUCUUUUGAGGAUACGAGGAGUUGUAUAGUAGCUUUUGAAGAUCGAAAGGUGCGAAUGGAACAACGAUUUUAAGGCCUAUAUUUUUCACAAAUAAAUUAUUGCUUUUGGAGUCUAUGUGAAGGAGUUAUAAGAAACUGAAGGCGGCACUUUCAACUCAAAGGCAAUAAGUGAGCGGUUUUAUUUAUAGUAAUGGUUGGAGCCAUAACUUGAGUUUUUUGAUGAAUUUUUGGCUCAAAAUUUUUGAAGAAUGUAAAAUUUUGUGUUAAAAAGCUAUACAUAUAAAUUUCGUGGCAUUUAAGCUUAUAUUUUGUGAGAUAUAAAGAAAAUUGCAUGCAAGUAUAUAAAGAUAAGGGUUUGAAGUGACUAUUAGGAUUUUCAAGAUAUCUCAAGAUCCGCAAUGAAUUUGUAGUUGAAAUUUGUUGUAUAAGUUAAUAAGAAUAUAUCAGUACUUCAUGUAAAUUUUGAAUCUUUUUGGACGGUCGGAUUAGGAGGUAUGAGCUGUUGAAGUUCAAAAAAAAUUUCACAUAAGGAUAUACAAGGUUUUAGAGGAUUUUAUCAUAUUUUGGAUGUUGUUGGUUACUUGAGGCUUUUGUAUUUGAUGUAAUUUCUCAAAAAGAGAAAAUUUAUAUAUAAACUUAGGGCUUUCCUUAUUUUGAAGCUUGAUUGAAUGAUUAGUGAUAGCUAGAAGCCCAAUGUUUUUUUGAGGCAAAUUCUCUCUAUCCCAACAACGGUUAUCAUCUAAAGUUGGAUAUGAUAGAGCCUUCAAAGUCGACAAAUCUAGUGACACAAAACUAUACUAUGAAAAUGGCUGAACUUCAAGCAACCAUGAAGACUUACAUAUAAAGGACUUAAUAACAUUAUAAGGUAGUGGCAGAUAAAUUGAGGAAGGAACAUCCUCUAUUCUAAGUUGGUGACAAAGUGUGGCUUCUUCAAUGCAAUAUAAAAACCAAUAAGCCAUGUGAUAAGUUAGAUUAUCGAAGGUUGGAACCAUUUUUCAUUCAGAAACAAAAUAAUAACAUGACUUAUUGCUUGGAAUUACCUUCAUCCAUGAAGAUUCAUCCAUUCUUUCAUAUUUUACUUUUGAAAAGGUAUAAAGAAUCAAACAUACUAGAUAAAAGACAACCACCACCUCCUAUCAUUGAAAUCAAUGAUCAUGUUAAAUUUGAGCUAGAAGAGGUAUUAGAUUUAAGGAUAAAACAUGAAAGGCUUAAAUAUCUGGUCCAUUGGCAUGGAUAUGAUAUCAACGAUUACACAUGGGAACUAGCUGAUAAUCUUAUAAAUGUACAAAUGAAGAUUCAAAGGUUCCAUCAACGACAUCCAUCCAAAUCAAAAGCAACAAAAUAAAAAAUAGUAGCUUAGUAAGAUGGCUUCACCAUGAAGAUUCUUAGUUUUUGGCCUCAUAAUGAAGAGGAGGAAGCAACCUCUGAAGAGGUAGUUGUUGUCAAAUAUUUAGAACAUUAUAAAUCAGUAAUUUGAGUUCAAGACCAUAGCUUGUUUAUAUUCUUUUGGUCUUGUCUACUUUAUAUGAUAUGGAUAGUCAAGAGAUAGGCACCUUGUUGAUCAUACCAUCUCAAUCAAGUAGGUCAUGGAGACGAUUUUGAGAUGAAGAGCUACCUAAAUCACAAAGACUUCGAAGGCUAUCUAAGAUUGCUCAUUUUACUUAUUCCGAAAGAAACCUUCCAGAAUAAACCCAUAUAGGGGGAUUCGAACAUGGAGAAUGACCAUAUAUAUGAGCUCCAAUUGUUAGGGUCACGCAAUUAACCACUACUGCUGAAUGCUUACCAUACCGAAGAACACUUAACUUUUCCUCCUAUUGUCCACUCUCUCAUAUCAAUACAAUAACAUCCACGAUAAUGAUUUCAGUACCUUGUGUAAUUCACGAACAUACAAGCAUAUCCCAAACCCUGGAAUGAACAACUUCCAAUCCACAGAAUCUGAUCAAGAUAAUUCCUUCGAUUACAAUUCCUCUCCACUAAACUUACAACCUUGCGAUAAACAGUGACUAAAAACUUCCAUAUGUCCUCAAUCUUUCACAACAAUUGAUAAACAGUGAUCCAUAAAUAACUUCGUAAAUCAAACAUUAAUUCAUUAAAUCAAUUCUCUUCACUAGAAUCAACACUAACACAAAAAAAACAAGAAAACUAAAAAGAAGAGAUAGUACCAAGCUUAUCCCUAACUCAAUACUAUUGCAGUCUGGCCCUCGGCUUAUGACUCUCACAGUUUGGCAUUUUCUUCCCCUCUCCCAUCCUCCUUAUACUACCCCGAGAUACCAACUCCUAUACUACAAAUGAUAACUACUUUUCCUGACUAUUCAUCCAUUCUACUUGCUGAACCACCUUUUCAGUAGUUAUCUAUCCCUGUUUAUACUAUACACUAGAUAUCUAUAUUCUAAAAAUAACUACUUAUUCUACAUAAUCCCACUCCUAACUGUGCAGCAUCCUUACAAACACUCAAUUGAUACCUAUCUAAAAAUUAUCUAACAAAACUCUACAAAAAUUGCCAUCCCUCUGACCUAUCUAAUUAAUCAAUUGCCGCAGUAUCUAUUAUUGGUUCC